GUCAACCCUGCGAACGAUUCAGUUACCUUCAACAGGACUAUGGAGCAAACUUUUGAUAAUGAGAAGGACUUUGUGGCAGAAGUGACGGAUUUGUCGAGGAAUGUGACGGACUUGGCGAUCUUGUCAGAAAGCUUAUACGCAACCUUAAACGUUAGUGUCUCAAGUUCAGUGACCCUGCACGGGCUUGCACAGUGCACCCCCGAUAUAUCAAAAUCAGCUUGUAAGAGUUGCUUGUUUUCGGCUAUUGAAAAGUUUCCAACCAUUCUCAUUUAUCAAAGGGGAGGUGCCAGAGUUCUUCAGCCAAGUUGUAAUGUACUGUACGAACUGUAUCAUUUUGAUGGGGAAACUAGAGGGAAAACCAGCACUGAUUCCAGCAUUAAAGGUAUGAGUUAUAUAAUAUUCAAAAUGUGCACUCAGUUUGUCACGGUAAGCGUAUAAUGGUAUCAUUCCAUUGCUUCUAAUUCUCAAUAUGAGCUGUUUUAUGUAUCAUAUUGCACUUGACUUGCUUUUACGAUCUAAACUCUGAUCAUAUUCUCUUGAUUUCAACGAGUUCUUGGUACUAUUUACACUUAGUAAGGAAAAAAAAGUCUGCAGAUUUGUGGUAUGUUUAGAUCCAAGGAAUUUCUCUUUCUUGACAGGGGUAAAACAAAAUCCAUGGAUUGCAAUAGUUAGCUCAGUAAUUGGAUCGGGGUUACUAAUAGUUAUCGUGGGUUCGUGUAUUUUUUUGAAGAGGACAAAGAGAUUGAAGAAAGGUAUAAGUGAAUUCAUCUUGCUUGCCGUUGUAAUGGCCAUCUUCUAACCUUUACCUGACAAGAGUAAACUCUCGGACUCUCAGAGAAGGAAAACAACCAAAAGGUUCUGUUACUUCAUCUGAGACAAGAAAUUGGAGAAGAGCUUUCAAAGGAAAACUCUCGUGGAGAAAAGCCAGUGGCUUCUCAACAAUUCUCUCUGAUGCGAUUAGACGUCAUACGCGCAGCCACAGGAAACUUCUCCAAUGAAUGUAAACUUGGGGAAGGCGGGUUUGGCUCUGUGUACAAGGUAAGCAAUUUAGUGACUCAACGCCAACUUAUGUGGAGACUAGGAAAAUCUUCUAAUGGUAGCAAUCUGGUAAAGUCAUUAUCCAUAGCAUGAACUGAAUCGAAUUUUGGUUAUCAUCAGUAAUUCUCAGAUGGGGAUCUCACCACUUACUACCCUGUUUCAGGGCACAUUGGCAGAUGGAAAAGAAAUUGCAGUUAAGAGGCUUUCAAGAACCUCAGACCAAGGACUCAUUGAGUUGAAGAACGAAGUCAUCUUGAUUGCCAGACUACAACACAGGAACCUCGUCCAAUUAUUGGGAUGCUGUUUGGAAGAACAUGAAAAACUCUUGAUAUACGAAUACAUGCCCAACAAAAGCCUGGAUGCCUUCCUUUUUGGUUUGAGCUUUAGCAGAUGCAAUGAAUUUUUGAGCUAGUUAAUUUUAGUUUUAUAAAGUUGAGUUUCAUCUGAGUCUCUCAUCUUUGACAGAUUCGAAUAUAGGGCAAUAUCUAGAUUGGAAGCUGCGCAUGAACAUCAUCUGUGGAAUAGCUCGGGGACUUCUCUAUCUGCAUGAGGAUUCUCGCCUGAGAAUUAUCCACAGGGAUCUGAAGGCUAGCAAUAUUUUGCUAGAUGGCGAGAUGAAUCCAAAGAUAUCCGAUUUCGGAAUGGCAAGGAUCUUCAGUGUAGAUCAAGACAGGGCAAACACGAACAGGGUCGUUGGAACCUAGUAAGUGCCUCAAUAUCUUUCUACGUCCUUUACAUGUUUUGAUUGAUUCAGUAGGCCAACAAAGGACUCUGAUUAUCUGCUCAACAACACCAGAUAGAGCACAUUCAUAUUUCAGAAGUUCCAUACAGAAGUUUUACUUUUCUCUUUUUCUUACUUCCAACUAAUUGUUCUUCAUUACAUAAUUCUGGUUAGUGGAUACAUGGCACCGGAGUAUGCAAUGCAAGGACUCUUUUCUGUAAAAUCAGACGUCUUCAGUUUUGGAGUUCUCUUGCUAGAGAUAGUAAGCGGGUGCAAGAAUAAUGGUUUUCAUCUCCAAGUAAAGGGUGAAAGCCUUCUCACAUUUGUAUGUUCCUAAUCACCAUCCCAGUUUAAUAUGAAAUCAAAGAUUUUCGUGUAGCUAUGCUUGUUAAAUUUCCUUGCUAAAUGACAGGCAUGGAAGUUGUGGUCCGAAGGUCGAGCAUUGGAACUUAUCGAUCCAUUAAUUGAUGAGUCAUGUGGUGAAGUUGAAGUGCUGAAAUGCAUACACAUCGGUCUAUUGUGCGUCCAAGAAGACCCGGCGGAUCGACUGACUAUGUCACUCGUGGUUCAUAUUUUAGCUGGCGAUACUAUCACACUCAGCUCACCAUCGCAGCCUGCAUUCUCCGUUGGGAGAGAUGCGGAAAAACUUAAUCGUGCCUCGACUGUCAAUGGAGUAACCCUUUCGGUUGUUGCGGCUAGGUGAUCAAGUUUUAUACAAUGGAAAUGCUGUUAGAGAUAAUUAUGGUAUAUUUUGUCUUUUAGGACUGUGUAUAUAUAUUUCCAUUGUAAUAUAUUUAUAUCCUCCUACUUUCUAUAUUUUUUAUCACGUAAAGCUGGCUUAUGUUCUCUUCUGUAUAUAUACGGAAUAUAUAGAAAUUAAAGAAUUCUUUCACAUAUUUCUUAUCUUAGUGUUAGAGGUAGACGAUCUUGAGCAAUUUUUGAGUGCUCGAGUGGGACACAUCCGAGUGCACACCCGGAGCACACCUUCACGUAUCGCGUCAUGUGAUUCAUUUUUGUUAUAAUUACUGAUUCCCUUUCUGAACAUCAAUUCUUAAUAUUUUCAUUACGUACGAAUAAACGUCAGCCUAUUGCUGCGUAAUCUACACGUUGGUCGGUUCACUCUUCAGCACAUGAAAUCACCUCUUUGGAUCUUUUCUCCCAACUCCGUUUGACUUCCUCUUCGUCACAUUGAGUUUGAGAGUUUGUUUAAGAUAAUUAAGAUUUUUAACUUGAUCCUCCAUUUUUUAGGGUUGUGAAUAUAUAUUUCACUGGCAUGUGCUAUCAGUAAUUUCUUAUGCAAUGCAAGGACUCUUUUUUGUAAAAUCAGACGUCUCCAGUUUUGGAUUUCUCCUGCUAGAGAUAGUAAGCGGGUGCAAGAAUAAUGGUUUUCAUUUCAAACAGGGUGAAAGCCUUCUCACAUUUGUAUAUUCCUAAUCACCAUCCCAGUUUAAUAUGAAAUCGAAGAUUUUCAUGCAGCUAUCCUUGUUAAAUUUCCUUGCUAAAUAACAGGCAUGGAAGUUGUGGUGUGGAGGUCGAGAAUUGGAACUUAUCAAUCCAUUAAUCAAUGAAUCAUAUGAUGAAGUUGAAGUACUGAAAUACAUACACGUCGGUCUAUUGUGGGUUCAAGAAAACCUGAUGGAUCGACCAACUAUGUCUCUCGUGGUUCAUAUUUUAGGAGGCGAUACUAUCACACUCAGCCAACCAUCACAGCCUGCAUUCUCAAUGUGGAGAGACGUGAGUAAACUUGAUCGUGUCGUGCCUAGUCACGAAGCCUUAACUGUUAAUGGAGUAACCCUUUCGAUUGUUUCGGCUAGGUGACCGAGUAUCAUCACUCUUCCUUCAGUUUAUUUCUCUUUUAUUCAAUGGAAGGUAGAAUGAUAAUAAUUAUGGUGUGUGAUCUCUUUUAGCAUCGUGACUGCCAUUUCUGAAUCAUUUCCGUGAUCAUCAAUUAGUAAGCGCAAGGUUAAAAAGCUUGUUAAUUAGUCAUCAUUUCUGUUCAAUUCGCCGCUUAUGUUCUAUCAGAAUGAUACAUAUAAUUGCUUGAGUAAUAUAUCAAUUCUACAAGUACCCCAUCGAUAUAUUAAAAAAAAAAAGCAUAAAUAAAUUCUAUAUUCUAGCUUUAGUAUAUAUAUUGACACAUAAUUCGUGAAUAAUACUAGGGCAUUUAAUACUAAACUACGGCUAAGUAGGAGGUCCUAAAUUCAAUCUUUUAAGACCCUUAUUUGUCUCUUUUACUAUUAUGUCUACACUUUAAUUUUAGGCCAAAGUUCGGUUUACAUGUGUUGAGGAGUGUCACGACCUCUUAGAAAGCGGGUUGGAUCUAAACUUAACUCGAACUAUCCUAAGCCUAUACCAAUUCACGACUUAGGUUUAAGUUAUUUAACAUGCAAAUGAUUUUUAUUUAAGUGUCGCUACCAAUUAAUUUAUGAUAGGUUGAUUAGAUAACUAAGUAAAAUAAUGUGAGAAUUAUUUUACUCUUACGAAUUAAAGAUUUUGGGUACGGAGACUUGAUCACACUAAAUUACUCUAACACCAUUUUGGUACAUUUUUUCUUUUAUUUUCAAAAAAUGUUUAGCAGGCGCCUUGGAUCAAUUUUAUUACACUUAACAUGUAAGAUAAUCAUGCAGGUGUGCAUAUCACCAAUUUAACAAUGAAUAAAGCAGUAAAUAAAUUGCAGGAGACACCUUAUAGCAAUGAAAACAUCUACAAUAUUAGCUCAGAAUUCACAUCAAUAAUCAUAGAUAUGAUCUAUCAUUAACAUGUAGUUGCUAGGGGUGAGCAUCGGUCCAAGGGUUGACCCUGGACCGGCCCAACCUUGCUGGUUCUGGUCCGGUUCCUAGGGAGACUAGGCCGGUCCUUGAUCCUAGAAUUCCUAGACUAGCACUGUGUUGGUCGAUCCUCAGUCUUGAGAGUUCUGUGUCAGUCCAACCCAGACCAAUCCUGACUAUAUAUAUAAAAUAUUAUUUAUAGUUUUUUAUAUAAAGAAAACCUUAAAAUAAAUAACGUCAACAACAUUAAAUGGCUUUUUAGUGAGGAGUUCAAGUAAUUUUACAUUUUAUUUUAAUAACUUAGAUUUUUAAUGUUUUUUACAGUGUCAACAGUCAUAAUUUACGAAAGAGAAAAAUGUUUUUGUUAUGAGUUCUCAGGGCGUUCAAAAAGGCUUAAAUAGCUCCUUAAGGCAUCCUCAUAUAGUAUUCGUUUUCUUUUGUCUUAUUUGUCAUCUUAGUUUUCAAUUUGCCAAAAUUGAAAGAAACAACUUCUCCGCUUGCUACUUAACACUCACCUAGCUCACUUUGGUCAUUUGUGCUACUCGCUACUCAAUGCUCACCUGACUUGUUGCUCCCCACUCGACAUUCGAUGCUUAUCUUGUUCGAUGCUCACCCCACUUAACCCUCACCACUUGCCUUUUUUAGCUGACCCCUUUCAUCAUCGAACCCGUUGGGUCGGUACGGUCCUCGGUUGCCCUUUUAAGGAGUACAAAAAAUGAAAUAAAAAAUUAUUGAUUGAUCUUGGGUUACUUAGAAACCAGACCAAAUCCAUUGGGUCAAUCCAGUCCUUAAUCGCUUUUUUGAAAAGUACGAAAAAUGAAAUAAAAAAUUAUCGGUUGGUCUCGGGUUGACCUUGGAACCGGACCGAACCCAUCGGGUCAGUCCGGUCCUCAGUCCCAAGCUCAAUAGGGUUGGUUCCCGGUCCCGAAAAUUGAGGACCAAUACUGUAUGGGUUGGUCCUAGAGUUAGGGGUGGACUGACCCAACCUGAACCAUGCUCACCCCUAGUAGUUGCUCAAUUGUUUUUUUUGGGGGGGGGGGUGGUUUGCACUUAUUUAAAUGAAAUCUAUAAACUCUGUGCAAUGCAAUGCAAUGACGUGAUUAUAAUUACUUCAUUACCUUCACCGAUGAUCAGUCACGGUAUGAUUAUUUACAUCUCAUGAAGUAUAAAUCUGAAUCCUUUGAAAAGUUCAAGGAAUUCAAGGCUGAAGUUGAGAAAUAAAUAGGAAAAUGUAUUAAAGCUCUUCGAUCGGAUUGAGGAGGUGAAUACCUUAGUACUGAAUUUCUGGACUAUCUUAAAGAUAAUGGUAUUUUAUCACAAUGGACACCUCCUAGAACUCCAAAACAUAAUGGUGUAUUUGAACAAAGAAAUCGUACUUUAUUAGAUAUGGUGCGAUCUAUGAUGAGUUACACCACAAUAUCCCUUUAGGGAUAUGCCCUUGAGACAGCUGUAUAUAUACUUAACAUAGUACCAUCCAAAUCUAUUCCAACCAUGCCCUAUGAGAUAUGGCAUAGUAGGAAACCUAGUCUUAAUCAUAUUAAGAUUUGGGGUUGUCUAGCUUUUGUAAAAAAGCUGAAAAUGGAAAAAUUGGAGGCAAGAUCUGAACAAGGUCGCUUCAUUGGGUAUCCAAAGGAAACUCUUGGAUAUUAUUUCUAUUUUCAUUCAGACCAAAGAAUUUUGGUAAGCAAGCAUACUUCUUUUCUGGAGAAUCAGUUCGUCCAAGAAGGUGGUGUUGGGCGGAAAACAGUCUUAUAAGAAGAAAAUAAUGAAUUACCAAAUAACCAAGUUCAGAUACUAAUCUCUGAUUCAGUGGGAAAUUCUAAUACUCUACCUCUUAGGAGAAGUGCGAGAACAUCUCACUCACUUGCUCGUUAUAGACACUUGGUUGAUCAUAUUGAACCAUUAUUCAUUGUGAAUGCUAGAGAUCAACUUGGUGAUUCUAAAACCUAUGAUGAGGCGAUGUCGGACAUCGAUUAUGGUAAAUGGCUAGAAGCCAUGAAAUUUGAAAUGGAUUCAAUGUAUUCCAAUGAAGUUUGGACCUUAAUUGACUUGCUUGAUGGUAUUAUACCAAUUGGCUGUAAAUGGAUCAUCAAGAGGAAGAUGAAUGCCGAAGGUCAAACUAGAACUUACAAAGCACAGCUGGUGGUGAAAGGAUAUCGUUAGAAAAAAGGAAUUUAUUAUGAUGAAACUUUCUCACCCAUGGCCAUGCUAAAAUCCAUUUGAAUUAUGUUGGCUAUAACUGCACACCUAGAUUAUGAGAUAUUCCAGAUGGAUGUCAAAAUGGCUUUUCUAAAUGGUUUUCUCAAAGAGGACAUCUAUAUGGAACAGCCACAGGGUUUUGAAUCCAAUAGUGAAAAACGGAAGGUGUGUAAGCUUAAAAGAUCCAUUUAUGGACUUAAACAACUCUUCAGAAGUUAGAAUAUCUGUUUUAAUGAGGUAGUCAAAUCAUUUGGCUUCAUCAAAAAUCCGGAUGAACCUUGUGUAUACAAGAAGAUCGGUGGGAGUGCAAUUGUAUUUCUAGUUUUGUAUGUCAAUAAUAUACUUUUGAUUGGAAAUGAUGUACCAAUGAUAUCAUUGAUAAAACUAUUAUUGUCACAGAAAUUCUCCAUAAAAGAUUUAGGAGAGGCAACCUACAUUUUAGGUAUCAAGAUCUAUAGAGAUAGAUCAAGAUGAUUGAUUGGCCUUUCAUAGUUUAGGUAUAUAGACAAAGUGUUAAUACGUUUUAACAUGCAAUGUUCCAAUAGAGAAUUAUUGCAUUUUAGGCAAGGGAUCCAUCUUUCUAAAGAGAUGUGUCCCAACACUCAUGAAGAAAGAGAGCGGAUGGCAAAGAUACCAUAUGCAUCUGCUAUUGGAAGCAUAAUGUAUGGUAUGCUAUAUACUAGACUUGAUAUUACACAUGCUAUAAGUAUUACUAGUAGAUAUUAGUCUGAUCCAAGAGAAGAGCACUGGAUAGCAAUCAAGAAUUUUCAUAAGUACUUGCGAAGGACUAAAAUCUAUUAUUGAUAUAUGGAGAAGGAGAAUUUAAAAUUGUAGCUUAUACCGAUUCCAAUUUUCAAUCAGAUUCUAAUGAUUAAAAGUCUACGUCUGGGUUUAUCUUUACAUUCAAUGGUGGUGCAGUUAGUUAGAAGAGUUCUAAGCAAAUCAUAACUGCCGAUUCCACUACUAAGGCAAAGUAUGUAACCGCUUUUGAAGCAACAAAGGAAGCUGCUUGGAUGAAGAAGUUUAUUUUUGAACUUGGAGUUGUUCCCUCAGUUAAGCAACUGAUUACAUUGUUUUGUGACAACAAUGGGGGGAUAGCUCAAGCCAAGGAAUCAAGGUCUCACCAAAAGUCCAAGCACAGUGAGAGAUGCUUCCAUCUCAUCAGAGAAAUUGUUGGGAGAUGUGAUAUCGCUUUGCAAAAAAUUUCCUUAGUAGAAAACGUGGCAGAUCCCUUCACUAAGGCCCUAUUUUAGUCUUCUUUUGAAAGACAUAUUGACAAAAUGGGUUGAGGUACCAGACAAGUUGGAUUUAGUGCAAGUGGGAGAUUGUUGAAUGUAUGCCUUAAAGCUACUAUGUAAUAGUUACAUGUUAGGGAUUUCAGUUGUACUAUCAUUAUUAUUAUUUAAUUAAUGGCAAUGACGUAUUCAUUCAUUUGUCAAAUUAUUUUAUAUUUAUAAAUGAUUUCAUAAGAUUAGUUGUAACUAGACCUAUUAUUAAAACAUUAAGAAUAUAUGUGACAGGGUUAUAGUUAGACCGAAUAUUUAAAUCGUUCCUAAUUGAGACAGGUGUGUUCAUAACUUCAACAAUAACUUCACCAUUAAGUAUUUGAUACUUAAGGGAAUGAUGAGUCACAAGUUAUUGGGUAAUGUGAUGCCUAAAUUAAGAACACGAGUGUUUUUUUUUGGUACCUAGGGAACCUCCGUGCGCCGCUUCGCGGCGGAGUAAACCCUGGAGGAGCAGUAGAGUCACCACCACCCUUGCUGCCUCGGAUAAGUCGUGGGUUCAUUUCUCGCAAGGCAGACAACACAGCGAUUUGAACUUAGGACCUCUCCUGAAAGGAACCUGCGCUCAACCACUACGUUGCCACCACAGGUGGUUAAGAAUACAAGUGUUUGUAUUAGACAAGUUCACUAAACGUGACACAUAUGGAACAAUUAGCAACAUGAAAGUUAUUAGCGUGGUCAAUGUCUAAUUGUUCAUGCUUUGGUCUUGUGUAAUUAAUCUUUAGACCUGAGAUACAGUGUUAACUUGUGUGUCGAACAACUAUGGUUCACAGGUGCACGUAAUGCCGGGUCGUUGAUCUGUCUUUAUACCUGAUGGUCAUAGUUUGUUUAUAUACAAAGUUGCACAUGUGCGCAAUAUGAAAUAUGUCUCAUUGUUACAUAUAAGGUAUAAUAAUGAUGUCCUAUGUGAUCUAAUUAUGACAUUGCAUCGAAAUCCUCGGCUGAGAUUGUAACCGAGAAUAAAUUGUUUAUAUCUCAAAUAAUAUGCACGUCAAUUAGAUUUGUAUAUAUGAUUGAAUUUGUGACUUGACAAAUAUUCCAUGGUCUUUAUUUGAUCGGGACAUAGUAAGAUAAAGUGAUUGAAUUACACUAUAGCAAAAACUAAUACGUUCAUUAUGUUCUUAAAGCAUUCAUACUAUCUAAGUAGCCAUGAUAGAUUGCUAGAUGUCAAUCAUGGCUUGUAGGACCAAAAGAUUAAUCGAGACAAUUAAUUCUUUUGGGAGUACUAAUAUGUUAGUACAAGUCUUACCAUCAGCUUAGUGAUGAACCUAGGGAUGUCACACACCAUAAACAAUUAGGAUAACGUGGAACAAGAGAGAAAUAAUGUUGUAAAUGUGUUUGCAAUUAUUGCAAUCGAAUUGAGUCGACUUGAAAUUAAAUUAAAUAAGAUUUACUUUAAUUUGCAUUAUAGUCAUGAGCCUACUUGCAUAUGAUGCACUUGCAUGCCCAAAGUGAAUACAUAUUAAUAUAUUCCAAAUGUAAAUAUAAAAAUUAUGUUCUUUUUAUUUUUAAGGGGAUUGAUUAAUUAUUUAUUUAUUCAUUUAAUUAAUUAAUUAAUUAAUUAAAGUGGAAAUGGUCAGCAAUUCUUGCUGACCAUUUGGCAUGAAUCAUUGUGAACAUGUACGAUUGUGCAUGGUUGCUCAUCGUUUAUUUUUUUUUUUUUUUAAAUACUGCUUAACGAAGGGCUGAAAAGAUGGUUGUUGAAAAUAGAAAAACGUGUGCAUGUUCUUGUGUUUUUUGAGAUGCGAGAAAGAAGAGGCAUUCUCUCUCGUUUGAGUUGUGACUAAAAACAUCAAGGAUACGACGGAUUGUCUCCACGAGAUUGCUAGCACGAUCAUAGUGGUGAUUAUCCGAAAGUUCUCUCUUUCAUUCGACAUCCAUUAUUGGUGUGUCUGAACUAAAGGUCCAACGUUUGUGGGAUUCGAACUGAAGAACAUUCGAACCAAUUUGUUUAAAGCGUGAUUCGAGAGAUAAUUCGUUUAAUUCCCUUUUCAUAUUUAGAUUUUUUAUUAAAGCACACGAACAACGCAUUCGAAGAAUCAUGUAUAAAAUAUAUUAUGUUUGUUUCUGCUACGUUCUUUUUUUGUUAAUUUUACCUAUACAUAAUUCGUGAAACCCCAACAGAUAAUAGUCGUUGGUGGGAACUCAGCAACAGGAAGUGAGUUGCGGCCGUCGAUAGAAGGAGUUGAGCUGAAGUGUCAAGCACCGUUUCCAUGAAUGUGUCAGAUAGGACGCGGGUCUUCUCUUUUUGCUUUUUCACUGGAUAGUAUCUUUCGAGAUGAAAGUGUCCUCUUCUCUAUUCACAGACCUUGGGAACCAGCAAGAAGAGAGAAAAUAUUGGCUGUAGCUAUGAGGCCAGCUCAGCAAAAAUUCAGUCUACAGCCUCACAAGUCAUUUUCUGUCUCCACUUCUCCCUCCCUCACCCUUUCUUCUCUCUCUUCACAUCUUCCUCUUUUUCUCUCUCCUUCGCCUAACCCCUUUUCCCUUCUUCGACCUUGACCUUGAGCUCGACCUCAAACACACUGCCAUUGCUUUCGGCACGUUGUCUCUAUCUAUGCCUCCAUCUUCGCUUAAUUCUUCCCCGACCUCCACUGCCGCCACCUCUUGUUCAACUCUUCCUGUGUCCUCUGUGUUUGCACUUGCGUCGACCAGGAGGUGGAGGUCCUACACGCGUCGACGAACCAUGCCUUUGCCGCCACCUCGCCGUUUCCUAAGCCGACCCUAGUCAACCUUGAACCAACCCAAAUUUGAGGUUAAUCUGAGGCUCAAGUUCGCCAGCCAAGCUCGAGCUCAAUGAUAGAGGAUUGAGACGGCGAUGAGAUGGUCGACUGAGAUGGUAGUGAGGAGGUGGUAGUUACGUCUAUGCUUGUCCCCGUCGGAGUGAAAGGAAGAAGAAUUUUUUUUUAAAAAAAAAAAGAAAAGAGAAAAGGGGUUAGGCGGAGGACACAGAGGAAGAGGAGACGUGAAGAGGAAGAUAGAAAAAUAAUUCUCUCUCUCUCUCUCUCUCUCUCUCCACGCCAUCUCCUUGGCAUGAUUUCCCUCAAUGUGCUGCCUAUUCUAGUGUGUGUGGCCCCCUUUCUUUUGCAAAUCACACUGGUUUUUAUAAUGCCCCCUCACCAACUUCCUCUUAGGAUAUCAGCAUAUUUUCUUUCUUUAUUUCAUCAACAAAAAGUUCUUAAUUUUGCCGAUCGAAUCCCACCUCAACGUACUUUUUUCUUUUAUUUAUGAAUAUAUGAAAGAUCCACCACCAUAUGAUUUUAUCUUUUUGUUUCUUUUCGUUGGCCAAAUUUUUCUUCUAUGCUUUUGAACGACUAUUGGAAGAAUAAUACCGAUUUUUUCUGAAAUAUACCAAUCUUUGAACUCGUCUCUCCUCAUAAGUCAAUUUUCAGCCAUUAAAGAAUGACAGGCUUGGCCAUGUCCUUCUCACUAUGGGCUUGGUCCAACUAGUUAAAUUAAAGCUCAAAACCAUCCAUUCAAACCCAUCUAUCACUGGUCCAAUGCAAACGCAAUAAUAAAAACAAUAAUAAAUGCUCCCAAAACUAUAUGCUAUGUAAUUUAAUAUUAAUAUUUUUGUUUACGGGUUAAAAAUUAAUAUCUAAUUUUCUAUGCAAUAAAUAAAUGAUUAGAUCGCCAAAAUUUAGGUAUCAAUAGCUGCUCAUCUUUGAAGGUGAGCUCAUAAAGGUUGCAUACAAAAACAAAUUGAGACCUAAAUUUUUACCAUGCAAAUAUAAUGUGAUAAAUUUUUAUGUGAGGACAUGUGUUUUGAUGAACCCAUGCCCAUUUUUUAACGUAAAAUAUGAUGCAAAUGCUAAUAAAGAAAUAGAAAACAUACCUUUAGUUACUCACCUGAGGAUUUGAGAAAGUAAACUUGGAUAUAGGGAUUUUAUAAACCAUGGGUUAUGAAAGCUCGCCAUGCUGAUGAAAAGAACUUCGAGUUACAGAAGUACGUCACGUCAAUAGAAAGAGACUCUGGGCUAUGAAAGCAUGCCAAGUCGAUGAAGAAGAACUCUUAGUUAUGGAAGCACACCAGCUUAAUAAAGAGACUCUGGGUUAUGGAAGCACAUCGUGUCGAUUAAGACAGAUAUCAGGUUAUAGAAGCACGCUGUGUUGAUAGAAAUAGACUCUGGGUUAUGGAAGCGCACUAGGUUGAUGUAGAGAUUCCGGGCCACGGAAGCACUUCGUGUUGGUUAAGAGGGGCAUUAAGCUAUAGUAGGACGCUAUGUCGAGAGACUCUAGGCUACAAAAGCAUACCAAGUAGAUGUAGAGGAACUCUGGGCUACAUAAGCACGUCAGGUUGAUAAAGAGAUUCCAAGCUACAGAAGCACACUAUGCCAAUUAAGAGGAGACUUCGGGCUAAGAAAGCAUACUGUGUCAAUAGGAAUAGACUAUAGGUUAUGGAAGCAUGCCAGAUUGAUGUAGAGGAACUCCAGGCUAUGGAAGCACACCAGGUUGAUGAAGAGACUCCGAGCUAUGAAAGCAUAUCAUGUCAAUUAAGAGUAGACUUCGAGCUAUGGAAGCACGCCAUGUCAAUAGGAAGAGACUUUGGACUAUGGAAGCAUGCUAGGUUUGAUGCAGAGGAGUUCUAAGCUAUAGAAGCAUGCUAGAUUGAUGAAGAGACUCCAAGCUAUGGAAGCACACCGUGUUGGUUAAGAGGAGACUUUAGAUUACGGAAGCACACUGUGUUGAUAAGAAGAGACUCCAAGUUACAAAAGUAUGCCAGAUCACUAUAGAGGAACUUUGGGCAACAGAAGCAUAUCAGGUUGGCAAAGAGAUUCUGGGCUACGGAAGCACAUCAUGUUGAUUGAGAGAGACAUCGAGUUACGGAAGCACAACAAGUCAAUGAAGAUAACUCUAGGCUACGGAAGCACACUAGUUCAAUAUAAAAGAACUCUAGGCUAUGGAAGCACACCAGAUUGAUAAGGAGACUCUGAGCUACGGAAGCAUGCCAUGUCGAUUACCUAUGGAGAUAAAAUUCAAGAAUGUUUAGAUGCAUUUCGAGGCUUCAGAGAGUAAUUGGAACAUCGGGUAUUACUUGAUCUUCAAGGAAAUAUUACCUGUCAAACAUGGUUAGAGCUAAAACAUAUAUGUAGUCAUCAAAGAAAUAGACAAUCUGAGCUACUCUAGAAUGCACACUCCAAAGUCCACUAAAGCUUUUAUCAAUUCAAUCAAUGUUUAUGCAUAAUGAUUCUACCAUAUUUGCACCACCAAAUUUCCACUGGAGAGAAUUAUCAUUCAAGACAAUUUUCACUUAUAAUUUCAACUUCUUGAAAACGUUAAUUGAGAGAUUUUUAGUUAGAAAGGACUUUCACUCACUUCAUUUAGAAAUGCUAUUUUAUGAGAAUCAUUUCAUCUCACCAUCAUCAUAUUGACAAGGGUCUAAGUAUUCUCGCGAGCGGUACAACCUUACCAAUCCGAGAGGAAUUUUUUAGGACCGUAAUGUAGGCUUGGUCAAUGACUUAACAAAGGGGGACUCUUUGAGUCAAGGUUGUUGAAAGAACAAAACUCCACAAUCAUCUCCGGGUUUACAAGUCAAGAAAAUUGCGAAAUGAGAUAGAAAUAAUCUUGCUCACACUUCUUCGAGCAAUGUUUAUAAACAUAUGAACACCUAUGUUAAUUCAAGUGCCAUAAUCUAAAAAAACUUUGCAAGGAACAAAACAUAGGCUAGGUUUAUAGGUUGAAAAAUGAAAUGAUUAUUAGGCUCAAAAUGUGUAUAGAGGGAUAAGAGUUGAUGAUCAUCUUGGCAUUGCCAUUAGUUUUCUUCUUAACCAUCGGGGAUUGUCUUCAUAAUACUCCAUUGAUUGCAACACCUUGGUAUUUGGGUACUUUGAUUAUUGCUCCAUUGGGGAUAUAUCUCUUGAUAACCGAUGGCCAUCUAUCUUGACUUUUUUUUUUUCAUUUUCCCCAUGGACAUUGGCCUUAUUUUUACUAGGCACACUGCUUUUUCGUGUCCUUAAAUUUCAUUCAUUUUUUCUUCACCUCUUUUUUCAUGAACAUUGACUUUACUUUUAUUAGGCACACUACUUUUUCACGCUUCUUAGUUCUAUUUUGAUUUCAAGUUUUGACUUUUGACACAUUGUCUACAUUUAUAUUGAACAGCCACACACAUUGGUUUAUUUCUACCAAAUGAUUUAACAUUUGAACUCACAAGGUAUUCCUCUUAUGUUGGCACUCUCUGUCUUUUGCUGGCACUCUCUAUCAUGCUACUUGAAUGAUUGUCUUUUGCCUUACCCCAGUUUAGGGGAUAAUCACCAAUCGGGUUUGUAUGAAAUGAAAUGCAAGCUCAAGUGAGCUAUGCAAAGGAUAUGAGUGUAUAAGAUAGAGAAAUGACCGCUCUUCAUCAUCUUAAGGCACUUAAUUACCAUAUGAAUUCAUCUCUAAUAGCAAUACUUGAAGAUUGAUGUAAGUGAGAGCAGGAAAAUUCCUAUCUAUUUCCUCACCUAAUGAUGUUGUCCUACCUCAUGUUUGUCCCAAUUUUGGUUUUUCUUGAUAGGGGUAAUUUGAAAAAAAAAAAAAAAAUUCUCCCCAAGUGUAUGGGCUUAAAGGGAUUAAACAAUAGAUUACUUGUAGUGUUUGGGAUAGAAAAAUGAAUUACCUCUCAUCAUUUUAGUCAUCAUACCUUUCGUGAGAGAACCUUUUACCUUGUGGAUAUGGAAUUUUUCCACACUCACCUCACCUUGUAUAAACAAGGGAUUGUGUAUAGAUAAGGCUUGCCUUUCUUCAUCUUGAUGCAUCUCAUUUAGCAUGCUCAAUCCACUUCACAUCAUUCAUUAGAUUAAUCUAUCUUGAAAAAUCUCCACACAAAAUUGGCCAAUAAAACAGGUAAAGUCACCAUGUAAAUUCUCUUUUCAAAAGCACCUAGCAACUUUAAGCAUGAAAAACUUGGUAACUUCUGAGCAAACAAUUUACCAUACUUAAAAAAUGUUUUCAUAAGCAUGAAAACAUGUUUUUGAGUAUUCAUUCAAGGAAUUGCCUGGUGAAGGGAUUGUCUCAACAAUAGGUGCUCUUGGAUUGCCCUUAUCUAAAUGGAAUGAACAUACGAGUUGAUCAAUCGAGACUAAAAAUUCAAUUUUUGAUUUGAUAAACACUCCAUUCAUGCUUUUGUUCCUGCACAAGAGAACGUUCAUGAAUAAGAUACUGUACAAACAAAAGGAAAUGCAAAUUGAACAUCUAGUUUGGCUCAGAAUGAGAUUUUAUUUUGGUUGGGUCAUUGCCAAAACCUAUCAUGCCCCCAAUCUAUAGUCUUUGAUGGAAAGAAUACAGAGUCAUUUCCAAAAUCAUUUAUGUUCAUGAAUGAGAUGUACCUCUUUUAUCAAAUAUGGACGAUCCUCACUUGACUUGCCCCUCAUUUUCUCAUUAUGUCGUUUGGCUCUUCGGGGUUGACAUCUCACAUGAGAAGUAAUGAGAUGUGCCUUCACAUCUCACUUUGAAAGCUAGGUGAUCUUCUUUUGGCUUGCCCUCAGUUUCUUAUUGAUGUGCAAGAAAACAGCUUGGGACAACAGUGGAAAUAGGAAGUAAUAGGAAGUGUUGAACACCUUCUUCAUUCUUUGGAGAUGCCAUCACAAUCAACCAAGAAGUGAUCCUUUGCUCCCACGUGAAUUUUUCCUUCAGAUGUAUGUUCCCAAAUUUGUUGAUUAUCAAUUGAAUCAAAUUCUCUAUUAUAAAAUGCUGUUGAAUUAUACUCUGAGACGUGAAGUAAAUGAGUUAGAAAAACAAAUAAGCCUAAGCUAAUGUAUGCUUUAAACAAUUGCUACAAAAUGAUUAUUUUAUUUUAUUUUUUUUUGAAUUUUUUUUUUUGGGUGAGGAAAUAUGAUGAAGCCCAGGUCUCAGAAUUCUCCUUGGAUCUUACACUUUUUAUCAGUUGGAUAUCAUCAUCGGGCCAGUUUGGUGUACCCCAUCAUGCCCUCAAAACAAAACUUGUAACUUUAGUGAAAUUCACCAAUCAAAUUAUAUUUAUUGGAGUGAAAAGUGCAACAAUCAAUUCCUAGAAAUGAAAUGAAAUCCUAGCAAGCAAGCAAAUCUUAGAAAGCAGCAAAAAUUCCCACGUAAGGGAGGGUGUAACUGAACAUGCCACUAAUUAAAUAAGGAAAUCAAGCUACUUAGAACCAUGAAUUAUGUGUACUUGGGUUCUUCACCCUCCUUAGUCUCUUGAGGUGAAUGCUCUAGGGUCAAACAUUCUUCCUUCUAGAUACAUCACCAAUCUUACUUGGUGGCAUCAAAUUCGACUACCUUAGAAAAUUAGAUGGUUCAAGAGUCCCCUUAGCUCUCUUCUUUGGAUUGAAAUUUCCCACUGAAGAUGAUGUAUCCAUGUGAUCAUAGCGCUUUCGCUUGACAAGACAAGCUACAGUAGCAUGCAGCUCGUCAGCUUGACUUUUUGGAGGCUUGCAAUUCACUUGUUCAUAUCAUUGUCAAAAUUAGCAAUAUUGCUCAGCACUUCAUUUUGGGGAUAAGUACACUAAUGGUGCUAUAAGUUGUGUACGGCGCUAACUUUGGUGUCAAAAGUUUCCGUUGGAUCACUUAAGUGCCAAAUCGGAGGAAAAACGAUCACUUUGGUGCCAUCAGCGAGAAAUUCUAGCCAAAAUGAUUACGUGACUUUUAUAUUUAAAAAAAAAAUCGACGUGGCUUAAGAUUGUCCACGGUGGAUAGCAUAAAACGAUGCAUUUUUCCUUUCUUCGUAGAAAUGAUGUCGUUUCUUGUCAUCCACCGUGGAUUCACAUAUAAACGACGCUGCGUUGCUCCAUAACAAAAAACGAUGUCGCUGAAGAGGGAGUAAAAUAGGGUUCGUAUACGGUUCUCCUCGACGCCGGCCGUAGCUCGCUCACCCACCGUUGUUCACCACCGUCGUUCGCUCGCCUGCCGUCGCUCGGCCACCGCGUAGUUGCGCCGUCAUUCACGAUCGUUUAGGUUUGUCUUGUCCUCUAUGUGGAUCAAUUUUGCGAAAAAUUUAGGGUUCUAAUGGGCAAGUUAGGGCACGGAGGGCAAAUUGAGGGUUUGGCUCAGGGGGAAAGUAGUGGGGAAAGUGGUGGGGAUGUCACUUUUAUGGGGACAUAAUAGAAAAAUUGAUUCUUCCAUCGUUCGUUUGCUUUCUGUUGUGGGGACUGAAUAGAAAAAUACGGUGCGGAAGGCUUGACUCGGAGGGAAACGGUGGUGGGACCGAAUUUGUUUGUUUAAUUAAUUUGUCUGCUUUUGUGAGGGACCGAAUGUGAAUGUGAUUGAAUUGAAAAAUGGGUGGUGGGGACCUCACUUUGUUUAUUUAAUUCAGUUUCUUUUGUUUCUGUAAAUGCACCGAAUUGGGGAUAUUUUAGUCGCAUUUGUUCCUUAACAACAAAACGACAAGGACUUGCAUGUGAAGUUGCCGAUUCUGUCAUGUGGUUCCAACAAAAUGACAAUGACUCUUUUCUUUUUUUCAUUGAGUGCAACAUCGACAUGGAUGGGAAUCAAGUAGGCGUCAUUGUUUGCUAUGGUGGAGAGUUUGUUAUUGGCACUGAAGAUUGGGAAUAUAGUGGUGGAAAUGAGGUACUAUUUAUGUCAAUGUUUGGAAGCCAUCAUAUAUUGAUUUUCUGAGGGAUUUGGUGUAUUUUUUACGAUGCAAAGUGCAAAAACUACAUUACUGUGUUCCUGGGAAGGAAUUGAAGGAUGGGUUGAGAUUUUUUAAUGACGAUAAUGAUAUUAAGAAUAUCAUUUACCAUUAUCUUCACGGUGAAGAAGCUAAGGUAUAUGUUGAGUAUUAUAGUGAGGAUGAGGAUGGGGAUGAGGAUGGGGAUGAGCAGACCACCAUUGAAGGAGGAGAAGUGAGGGAUCCUGUUCAAGCGAGUAAUCAGGUCGGAGAUGAGUAUAGGUUAGAUGAAGGACAAAAUGAGAGGGAGAUAAGUCAUAUUGAUAGAGAUAAACAAAGAGGGAGAUGUCCUGAAAUCUUGAGUGAAGAUUUGGGUGAAGAUGUGGGCGAUGAAGACUUCAUUGGAUUAGAAUGAGAAAUUACUUUAUCUAGUGAAUCGGAAGAUGAAUGUUUGGCUUUAGUAAAUUUCCCAAGUGACAAAAAUGAUGAUGAACUCGCACAGUCAAGACAAAAGCAAAAGGAAUUUCUGAGAAAAAAACUUGCAGCUUCAGCAAAAAGGCCCGAGCUAAUAAAUAGGGAUGGAGAUCCAGUUGAGGGUAAUAGAAGUGAAGAGAAGAAAGCUAUGGCGAUGAAGUUGCUAGUUCGGAAAAUGAGCUUGACAAUGAUGAUGAAAAACCUGCUCCUCGAAGAAAAAGUAAGUACCAUUGCUAUGAUCCGACUGUUGAUAAACCUGUUUUGUUGGUGGACAUGAGAUUUGACGAUGCCAAACAGUUCAAGGAAGCUGUUGUGAAGAACUCAAUUGGUGAACAGAUGAGCGUUAAAUUCAUUAGAAAUACGAAGGAAUUUGUGAGAGCUAAGUGUUCACAACCUAAUUGUUCAUGGAAGCUCUAUGCCGCACUUAGUAAGAAUGGUUUAUUUCAGAUUAGGUCCUUUCAAGAGGAGCAUACUUGUCUAAUUAUCUUUAACAAUAAAAGGGUAACAAGUGUGUGGUUAUCAAAGUAUUUUUUCAAUACUAUCAAAGCAUUGCCCGAGAUCAAGAGUCCUUAAUUUCAACAGUUAGUGAAGGAGCAAGUGGGGGUUAAUGUGUCGAGGAAUUAAUGUAAGAGAGCUAAGAUGAGGGUGAUGAAGAUAUUGAUGAAUGGGUAUAAGGAAGAAUAUGCGCAGGUAUGGGAUUAUGCUAGUGAAUGCAUGUUUCAAAACCCAUUUAGUAUGGUAUAUGUAGAGGUUGUGGAGAGGCCACUCCUUGAUCUUGGGCCUAGAUUUGAUAGAUUUUAUGUCUGUUUUGAUGCAUGCAAAUGGGGCUUCUUGGCUGGUUAUAGAAGAGUUAUAGGAUUGGAUGGAUGCUUUCUAAAGGGUUUAUGCAAGGGGGAGUUGUUGGCUGCUGUGGGGAGAGAUGCCAAUAAUCAAAUGUUUCCGCUAGCUUGGGCAAUGGUAAAGAUAGAGAACAAGGAUAUUUGGUCCUGGUUCCUAAAAAAUUUGAUGGUUGACCUUGAGAUAACCGAUGGGGGGAUGGGCAUUCAUGAGCGACCAACAGAAGGUAAUUUCAUUGUCAAUUAAUUCACUCCCUUUUAAUAUUAAUCACUUGCAUAUUUUUCUUGACUUGUAUUUAUUGGUUUGAAUUUUUGUAGGGACUUAUUCCUGCAUUGGCUGAGUUGAUGUCACAUGCUGAGCAUAAAAUGUGCGUGAGGCACAUAUGUGCAAACUGGUCAUGGAACUUCAAAGGAGAUAGGCUGCAGAAGCAGUUCUGGCAUAUAGCAAAGAGUACGAAUAUGACUAAUUUCAGAUUAGCCAAACAAGGAUUGUUGCAGUUGACUAAGGAAGGUUUUGAUGCACUAUUCUAGACAGAAGCUAAGCAUUGGUGUCGGGCCUUCUUCAGCGAAGAAUUCAAAUGCGAUAUCAUUGAUAACAACCUUAGUGAAACUUUCAAUGGUAGAAUUUUAGAAGCCAGGUGCAAACCAAUCAUCAGCAUGCUUGAUGAUAUUCGAGUUAUGGUUAUGACUAGACUACAUAGGCAAAGAGAUGAGGCUACAAAAUGGAGUAGAGACUAUGGCCCUAGGAUUGUGAAGAGAUUGGAUGCAAAUGUUGCUGCUAGUAGGUUUUGCCAUCCAGUUUGGAAUGGAGAUAAUUGAUAUGAGAUUAUUCAAAAUCAGGAUAAGUAUGUUGUCAACCUGGAUAGAAGAAAAUGUUCAUGCCGAGCUUGGCAACUGAAUGAAAUUCUCUGUGCUCAUGCCAUUUGUGCUAUUCAAAUGAAGCAAGAAAACCCAGAUAAUUACCUAUAUGAUUGGUACAAAAAAAGCUCAUACCUUGCUUCAUACCAAUUCAUGAUGCAGCCUAUCAGAAGCAGCAAAUUUUGGGAGCCAACAAAUCAUGAAAGCUCUCUACCUUUACCGCUAAAGAAGCAAAUAGGAAGGCUGAAAAAGAGAUAAAGAAUGCAGCAGGAAGAUGCAUCAAGUCAAAGGAUGAGUAGGACUGUAUCAAAGAUGAAAUGCUCUUAUUGUAGCAAGGAAGGGCACAAUAAGAAAGGUUGUGAGCUGAAAAAGCAGCAUUAACAGCAAGAUGUAAUGGCUGAUUCAGUGCCAGGGACAGGACCUACUGAAGAGUUUCUUGUUGGGCCUAUUGAAGGGAGGACAGAAGGCCCUGUUGUAAUGCCUAUUGAAGGGCAAACAGAAAGCCAUGCUGUAAGGUAAGUAUCUUCUUUGUCUCAGUAACUUUACAGUUCUUAUUCGAUAGAGUUUGAUGGUUGACCAUGUGUAUUAGCUUCUCUUGUGCUUUUCCUCUGUCAUGCACUUGUAAUUUGAGAAGUUCUCUCCAUUUGUUUCCACCAUGAAAAUGAGUAGAUGUCUAAUUAUUCAUUGGAGUUGGUCAUAAUCCUAAUAUAGUACAUUGUUGUAAGACUUACUAAAGGGCCAGAAAAGGCCCUGUUGUAGGCUCAAGUGCAGGGACAAGGACUGGAAUGGGCAGGAUAGCAACAACAACAACUGAGUCCACUAUUGAGCAAAUAAGAAAAAAAUAUCCUAUAAGUUGUACAUCGCUGUGUUUGGUCUUUUAUGAGCUAAAAUUUACAUUUAUUAUGUGUUUCUCAAGUGAGAAGACGAGCAACUGCACAAGUUGCAGAUAUUGCUACAAGGAUUGUUGUUCCUGAAAAUGAUGCACCACAACGAACAAGAGGGGCUCUUGGAAAAAGAUUAAGGCAAUAUGGUUAUGAGAUUUACACAGAUGAACGUACUGGAAUGACUAUUUUGAAUGUAAGAUUUAUAGGUCUCAUGCAUUUUAUUUGUUGUACUUCAAUUCAUUUGGUUGAUAAUAUCACUAUGUUCUUGUAGCCUGGGAGAACUUCGGAGGUACUUCUUUCUUAAGGUGGACCAACUCAAGUGAUGAUGCCAGCUUGACAUGCACAUGCCUUUUUUUUUUUUUUUGUAUUUUUCAUUAAAAUAUUCGAAAUUAAUUAUUUACUCUAAUUUAAACGUGCAAACUAUCCUAUAAAAGAAUAUUCAGUUUAUUCUAAAACAAUAUUUUGGUAAUUUAUUAAAUUCGGAAUUAUAAAAUAACCAAAAUAAGCAUGCAAUCUAUCCUAAAAAACUACAAUAUAAUGUUUUUGGAUUUUUUUAUUAGAAAUAAAGUCAAUUAAAAUCAAACAAAAGUAGAAAGAAGUCAAAUCCAUAACGAACAUGCUGUCAAAUCACACUAGAUAUUAUCGAUAUCCAUUUAAUUUUUCAAAUAAAUUAACGAAUUGUAUCUCAUGCAUGAGAUCAGAUUAGCCAAUUCUUAUGACAUGGCGAAUCAUAUUUUGGGCAUAAGAUUGAAUUGACGAUUUUCUGCGUGAUUGUGAGUUGUAUUUCGGGCCUUACACGUUGUGAAGUUAGGAAAAUUUCCUAAUUCAUGGGGAUUGAAAAGAAAUUUUUUUGGAUAUGGUAAUAUCAACCAAAGAUUAAAGCAAGAUCGCAAUUUUAUGAAUUAGGUAAUGAGAUAUAUGCAAAUCAAAUUAAUUGAGAUUCUUACAUAAUUCAGGAUGUUACACGGAUGAUGUUUCUGAAUUUGGACGGACAAUGGAUCACGGGAAUCGUGAUGAGGAUGACCAGCAAUCGGCGGCGCUCAUGGUUGCUCGAUAGUCGCCAGACGGGUUCCACAAGCUACGCAAGGGACCGAGAAUCGUCGAUGGAUGGGGGCAAGGACAGCAGGUAUCGGUCCUUCGAUGUUGGUGUUGUGGGCUGGAAGCAGAUAGGUACAGGAGCUCGCGGUGAUGCUGAUCACGGUGCGGUAUCCUCUGUUCGUGCGUUUCUCACUUAUCGAAUAUUCCGGAAUUCUGUCCGAGAACUUAAGCUUCUUUUGACUUUGCUUACAAACUUCACCUUUUAAAAAAGCUUGGGCAAAACAGGACAAAUUUCACCGCUUCUCUCGUAUUGCGAACGCCCUCUUGUGCCCAUUGAAGAAUCCAGGCGAUGUCGCCAAGAACCUGCAAAGGAAAAGUGCAAUCGUGAUUGACGUGGGGGCUCGCUGGCCGCAGGACGUGAGCUUUUGUAAAUUCCCCAUAAAAGUACAUGGAGAGAAAACAUGCACCUAAAUAGGCAACUACAAUCAAGCGAAAGAUUUCGAAAAGUAAAAUCGUAUUCACUCCCUUCAGCCUUAUACAGGGCAACCCUAGUUUGUAUGAAACUAUCACAGGACCAAAAUUUUAGAGGAUUAAGGCAGCAACCCAGCCGCUAGCACUACCCUAUAGCUUACUCACCAGACAAACACACACAAUCACACACCAUACCCAGCCCCACCUCAGCAAACAGCAAUCACCACAAAAUAGAACCGACACGUUGAGGAGGAUCUUGAAAAUUGUAAGAGUUAUACUACUACUCACAAGGCCUUGCUAUUCGAUCCGGUGGGCCCAAUAUCUCCAAAGCAAACCCUUGAGAAACGCCCAAAAUCAAUUUUGAGAGCCACGCCAGCUUAGCCCAUGUUUGGCAAAAAGUAUUUAUGUUCCCCGGAAUAAAAAUUUAUGUUCUUUUGUUCCGGGAAACAAAAAAAAUAGAAACAUGUUUAGUAAAACUUUUAUUUUCGGGAACAGAUUUGUAAUAGAAACAAGAAGUAGAAAAAAAAUUGCUUCUUAUUCUCGAGAACAAUUCUGAAAACAAUUUUUCUCUCUCUUCUUUUAUCUUCUUCUUUUUUCUUUCAUUCUUCUUCCUUUUAGUCGGUCGCUGGCUUCAGCCAUUGCUGAUGACCUUACUAGAGCAUCGCUAGCCGGCGCGAGGCUCGACCUCGCCAUGCUAGGGCGAGGCCGACCUCGCGUCGCCUGGGAGAGGUUGAGCCUCCCAGAUCUGGUGAGGCCGAGCCUCGUAGUGGCCUAGCGAGGGUCAGGCAAGCUCGCCGAACCUCACCCAGCCAGUCGCCAGUGGAUGCCAUGGCCGACGACUAGCCAUAAAGGAGAGAGAAGGAAAAAAAAGUAAUAAAUAAAUAAUAAUAAUAAUAAUAAUAAUAAUAAUAAUAAUAAUAAUAAUAAUAAUAAUAAUAAUAAUAAUAAUAAUAAUAAUAAUAAUAAUAAUAAUAAUAAUAAUAAUAAUAAUAAAAAUAUUGAAAAAUUAAAAGAAAUAAUAAAAUUAUACAAGUUUAUUAAACACAUUUCUAUUCCCGGAAUAGAAAUUUUUUGCAGUUACCAAGUGCAUUCUUAUGCUCAGAAAUUGUUCUCGGGAACAGAAAUAGAAAAAACUAUUUAUAUUCAAAAAUUGUUCUCCAAAACAGAAACGUUACCAAACGCUCCCUUAAUUGAUACCCACAUCCUCAUCAAAAACCCUAGAAUCAAACACACAAACUUUGAACCAAAUAGCUCAAAGCAAAAGAAACAACAGUCUUUGGAACUUUUUCACUCCUAUGAAGUCACAAAUUGAAGUCUCGCAACAAUCCAAUUAGUUCUCGAGGUAAAAAAACAUUAGACAUUCCACCAGCAAAACUAGUUCAAAAGAGAUCUGAGCACUUCGGAUCUUCUAAUGUCAAGCCCUUGAAGUUUCGGUCAUGGCGAAGAGAGACGGAGAUGGAGUGAAGUCCCUAAUUGAAGUCGUGACUCACAAAAUGAAUUCUUCUCUCUGUGUUUGUCACUCUCACUAAAAAAGAAGGAAGUUCAGAUGAAGGGUGUAGCUUGUUUGGUAACCAUUCCGUUCCUGAGAACAAUUUAUGCUUAGAAAUAGUUUUUUCUAAUAUUGUUCUUUGGACGAGUUAUUUAGCAUUUGACCGUAUUAGUAAUUGCAUAAAAUUUAUGUUCCUCAAAUAGCUAGUCACUGAGCCUUAGCGAUGGCUAGCGGCUAGCCAGAAGGGAGAGCUAGCGACUUUGUUUGCUUUGGGGGCCACUCGUCGGUCUUGGGGGAGCCUCACUGGCUCUUGGUGAGGCCGACCCACCCAUCCACGGUGAUGUCAAGCCUCACCAAGAGUCGACGAGGUCGCUAGACCUUGUCUUUGGUUGGUUACUGGACAUUGCCGAGCCUAGCAACGAUUAGAGAAGGAAGAAGAAGAAAAGUAUAUAUAUAUAUAUAUAUAUAUAUAUAUAUAUAUAUAUAUAUAAAGAAGAUAAUGACUUGAUUUCAGAAUUUGUUUCUAAAAACAAAUAAGUAACUUUUUUCUACUUUUUAUUUCUGUUCCAAAUCUAUUCCAUGACUACUAAUAUGUUUUCGGGAAUAGAAAAAUUAACUAAUAGUAUUAAACGGAUUUUUGUUCUUCGGAAUAAAAGAACAAAAUUAAUUAAGAAUUAACUGGUUACCAAAAAGGGCCGAAGUAAAGCGUAAAGGUAUAUAGAGGGUCGUGGACUUGUGGGUGUCGUGUGGGUUUUGAAAAUAUGGGUUAAAAUAUGGGUCACGUCUGUCUCGUGGGUCUCGUGGGUCUCGUGGGUUGGGUAUAUUGGCUCUUUUUUUUGGUCUUUAGUUUUCCAUAACCCACUUAACCCAUUUUGAAAGAAAACGAGUUACCCUAAUAAUAUUGCGCCUCUUAAAACUGAGUUAUAAAAUAGGUACACGAACCAUUUUGCCGGCCCUACUUCUGACCAACCAUAUCAGGGUCAAAUUAGUCAGCAUCCUACUUUAUAUAUUCUCCUUCUGGCUUUCACCAUCCAUGAAAUCAAUAUGGAAGAGAAUGGUUUUUUACUAUCAUUUGCCAACAUAUAAUAAAGAGGAUAUCACAUCGUCUUCCAGGCCGUGCUUAUAUAGGCAAGUACAAAAGAAGAAUGGCAGACCUGUAAUAUACUCAAUGAACCUCCGCAAAAGUUACGGAGCUUCAUGACUUUCGAAGCAGAGAACACACAUUUGGAAGAAAAUCAAAAAGACAUAGAGUGCUCUCGAGUGUUCACUUUCAAAGAGCAAGAAUCGAUAUCUCUGAGCUUCAAGAACGUAAUAAGCAGCUAAGUCUUGUCGGAUCAAUCUCCUUAGUCCCAUCAUCUUCAUCAACAUGUAUUCGAGUUUCCUUUUGGCUCUUUAUUUAACAAAGGCAUCCGCACCCUUGUGACUCUGAAGAGAAUCACAUUGGGUGUGGCAGUUACCCAUCCCACAUAUACCGAAUAAUUUAUGGGAGAUGUGCAUUCCUAUGCUCCUGGAUGACUCCAAGAGAAUACGCAAGAAUGAUGAUUCAAAUUAUGAUCUUGAACACGAGAGAUGAACACACGUAUGACUUGAGCAACCCUAACUCAUAAUUGGACUUAUAACCACCUCCUAGUCCUUGUCAGCCUUCCAGUCAACCGCUUUUUUGUUAGGUAGCGCAAGCCAGGAAUGUUCAUCCUCAUUUCUUCUGGGAAAAUGAAGCCAGUUGGGUAGUCUCUAGUGAUUACAGCAAUUGAAUAUUUGACUAAUCCGUCAUUUCUGAAGCCGGCAUCAGGGGGGGCACCUGCAAAACUUGUUCUUGGUCAAAUCAGACAAAUGCAAGACCUGGAAGUUACUGAUAUCAAACAAGUUUGUGUAUCUUGCCCUCCGAAAGUUGCUCAUCAUCUACUCCUCUUUGAAUUACUCUUAUUGUACUUGCGUUCUUUCCAAAUUAACGGAUCAAGAUGAUUAUCGAUGCACCAAGAUAUAUUGCAUUCGCUUUCUUGAUUUCAGGCCCGAUCCUCUUCAUCCCAGACACUCCUGUCAAUGCACAGACAUAUCUUCAAGAGGGGAGCUCUAGUAAGGGCAAGUACACUGCUUUUAGCAAGUUCCAAAACAACCUCUACAGCCUCCUCGACAGGUAGCUUCACAACGAAGGACGCGUUAACUGUUUCUACAACAUGACAGAAGCGGAAUAUCCAGACAAAGUUUAUGGUCUAUUCCUCUGCAAGUAAAUCACAUGGAAAAGACAUCCAAAGUUUCUACUCUUUAGUAAUACCUUUAAAUUCAAUCCUUAUAAUCUUUGGAAUCGGCUCACUUGGUACUAGGUGAUGCAAGCCUAGGGUAGGCUUUCUCGAACAGUAGGAUCGGGAGAGUGACUCACACAUGGGAAACAGGACGAACAUAAAUUUCAGCACUAUGCAAGCUCAGGAGAACACAGAUCGGAUCGACUUGAUUCCAAAGCCAAAUGAACAAAGACUUAUCGAUCUACAAUUUCUCUGUUUUGGGUUUUAUGAAAUAAGCACUGUAGAAUGUUCGAAUUUGGAUUGGAAAUAACGAACAAAACAGGAAAAGAUAGAAACUCCGUUGGUUGCUCUUCUAGGCCUCCAAGGAAGUUGAGGGGGCACCGAUUCUUCUAGAUCGAUGACUGCAACUCUUCAAGGAUGCAGAUUUCGAAAGCUCCGACUCUUCAAGGACGGAGUGAAAACUCUUCUAGGUUUUCAAGGGUAUAAACUCUACAAGGUUCACGAUACUUGCUUCAAAGCAAAGUUUUCAUUCAUCAAAAGUCGUUUGUCUUCUACAAGAAAUUGGAUGGCUUAUAUUGUCAAAGAAAUAAAGAUAGAGCAUUGAAACUAGGAGAAAUAUCAAAUAGCAUAGAAACGAUAAACUAGUAAAAGCGUCAUGCGGGCUCCCAAGGUGUCUUUCAAGCUUCCGAGAUGGACUCAAGAUAUCGAUACGGCUUCUCGAUUUUGUUGAGCUUGAAUGCAGGCCGAUCUUCUUGGUUGAGAGAGCUGGUCUUCAAUGCGGGCUGCAUCACUAGGAUUUAUAAUGAACCUGAUGUGUUGGUCUUAAUUGAGAUCCUCUAAAAGUAUGGUGAUCCAAUGCCAACAAUUUGGUUGAUACUAUCCAAACUUAAGUAACUACCAAUGCAACUUUCCUAUCCCUUUUUAGAGGUUAUGUUGCCGCCAAUCUCUGUCAGUCUUGCAUUAAAUCAGCUACUGGCAACAUCUUAGAAUGAUGUCCAGGAGAGAAAGGGGUGACCAUAGGGUACGGUGAGUGUCUCGUGCACUACUCUGACAGAUCAUUCUUCUCUAUCAUGGAGUCAAUGCCGGCUUUUUCAAUGUACAACCUUAUGAAUGUACCAGAUCCCAACCAGUUCCUCCCGGUUGUAGGGGAAACUUUCAGGAAAGUGAUGGACUCGGCAAUCUCCUCAGAAAGCUUAUUCGCAACCAUCAAUGUUAGUGUCUCAAGUUCAGUGAGCUUGUAUACACUUGCGCAGUGCACCCUUGACUUAUCAAAGUCAAUUUGUGAACAGUUUCAGGGCUGCUGCAAUCGCUCAUUUUCCUACCUUCAUUAGCGAUGGAAAGCAAGGUGCGAGAGUUCUUCUGCUGAGUUGUCAGGUGCAGUUCGAACUGUAUCCUCUUUAUGAGGAAAUUAGAUGCCAAGCAACAGCACAUUCUCCAACUAACAAAACCAGCAUCAAUUCCGGUACUAGAGGUAUAAAAAUUGUAUAAUGCUCAAAACGUGCAUUCAAUUUUCAUGGUAAACAUAUAAAGGUACUCAUUAUAAGCUGUUUUGUGUAUCAUAAUGCACUUCACUUGCUUUUACGAUCUAAACUUUGAUCAUUCUCUGAGUUCCUGUUACUAUUUAUGCCUAGUGAGAAAAAUCUGCAGACUAAAUUCAAGGAAUCACUUUGUCUUGAUAGGGGUGAAACAAACAAAAGUUCCAUGGAUUGCAAUAGUUAGCUCAGUCAUUGGAUCGUGUUUACUCUAUCCAUCAUAGGUUCAUGCAUUUUUUUAAACAGGACAAAGAGAUUGAAGAAAGGUAUAUAUGAAUUCAUCUUGCUUGCCAUUAGAAGACCAUCUUCUAAACUUCACCUUAUAAGAGUAACCUCUUUUACUGUCAGAGAAGGAAAACAGCCUAGAGGUUCAGUUACUUUAUCUGAGACUAGAAAUUGGAGUAGAGUUUUUAGAGGAAAACUAUCGAGGAGAAAAGCCAGUGGAUCCUCGAGAAUUCACUCUGAUACGAUUAGACGUUAUAUGCACAGCCACCGGGAACUUCUCUGACGAAUGUAAGCUUGGGGAAGGCAGGUUUGGUCCUGUAUACAAGGUAAGCAUUUCAGUGACUAAACACUUAUUUAUGGGGAUAUUAGGAAAUUCUUCUAAUGGCAGCAAAUUGGCUGUCAUUAUUGUCAAAUCUCUACUAACGUUACGCUGUUUCAGGGCACAUUGGGAGAUGGAAAAGAAAUUGCAGUUAAGAGGCUUUCAAGAACCUCAGGCCAAGGACUCAUCAAGUUGAAGAACGAAGUCAUCUUGAUUGCCAGACCACAACACAGGAACCUCGUCCGAUUGGUGGGAUUCUGCUUGGAAGAACAUGAAAACCUCUUGAUAUAUGAAUACAUGCCCUACAAAAGCCUGGAUGUCUUCCUUUUUGGUUUGAGCUUUAGCAGAUGAAAUGAAUCUUUUGGCGAUUUUUAUAAAGGGCAAAUCCAUUUGAGUCUCUCAUCAUCAACAGAUUCAAAUAUGGGGGCAAUCUCUUGAUUGGAAAUGCGCCUGAACAUCACCUGUGGAAUAGCUCAGGGACUUAUAUAUCUGCAUGAGGAUUCUUGCCUAAGGAUUAUCCACAGGGAUCUGAAAAGCUAGCAAUAUCUUGCUAGAUGUUGAGAUGAAUCCAAAGGUAUCCAAUUUCGGGAUGGCAAUGAUCUUCAGUAUAAAUCAAGACAAGGCCAACUCAAACAGAGUUGUUGGCAUUUAGUAAGCGCUUUCAAAUAUGUUUCUACAUCUGUUAGAUAUUUGAAUGAUUCACUAGGCCAAAAAAGAACUCUGAUGAUCAGUUCAACAUGACCAAAAUGUGAAGAUUCAUAUUUCAGAAGUUUCUUAUAAUCACUUGUGAAUUUUUUUCUUACUUCCAUCUAAUUGCUCCUCAUCACAUAGUGGACACAUGGCACAGGAGUAUGCGAUGGAAGGGCUCUUUUCUAUUAAAUCAAACGUCUUCAGUUUUGGAGUUCUCUUGCUAGAGAUAAUAAGCGGGUGAAAGAAUAAUGGUUUUCAUAUCUGAGAGCACGAUGAAAGCCUUCUCGCAUAUGUAUGCUCCUAGUCUCUGCUUCGAUUUAUUAUGAAGUUCAAGAAUUUUGUGCAGCUAUUCUUGCUUAUUUCCCUUGUGAAAUGACAUGCAUGGAAAUUGCGGUCCGAAAAUUGAGGGUUGGAACAUACCGAUCCGUCAAUCAAAGGGUCAUGUGAUGGAGUUCCAGUGCUAAAAUGCAUACAUAUCAAUCUGUUGUGCGUUCAAGAAGACCCGGUGGACCGAUCGACUAUGUCACUUGUGGUUCAUAUGCUAGGAGGUGGUAUGAUCAUUCUUGCCCAAAGAUCGCAGCCUGCAUUCUCAGUUGGGAGAUAUGUGAAAACACUGGAUACUAUCGGAACGAUCCACAAUGUUUCCACCGUUAAUAAAGUAAACCAAGAAUCAUCACCUUUCUUCAGUUGUUUCUCUUCCAUACAAUGGAAAUGCUUCACGAUUUGACAAAAUAGAACUAGUUACAAUGUAUGAUCUCUUUAUUAUUGUGACUGCCAUUUCUUAAUCCUUGAAUUACACAAUCAUGAAUUAUAUAUUGUGAGGAAAAAAAAACCUGUUUAGUAGUCGUCAUUUCUACUGUAAUUCACCACUAAUGUGCUUUAAGAAUGAUAGAUAUACUUACAUGAGUGAUGUAUCAAUAUUCAAUUCUAUAAGUACCCCAUUAAUAUAUAAGAAAGAAUAUACAUAUACAAAUUCAAUAAUCUAAUUUGAGUAUGUUCACCGAAAUCUUAAUGCAUGAAGAGUGUAGAGUGUUUAGAUAUUAAAUCACGUUUGAGCCGGACUGAUUGCAUUCAAAUCUUUCCAAACUCAUGUUUGCCUCCCCAAUUAGAUAUUUUUACACUUCAGUCUCAAACUAAAGUUUAGCUUACACGUGAGGAUAGUGUUAGAUUAUUUAAGUAUUAAAUCACGCUUUUAUCUAAUAGCCCAAGAUGGUUAGAAAACUUUUUACAGAGGAGCUACCAAGUCAAGGCAUCAUUUUGUAAUAGUUUUGAAAUGGUCAUGUAAUGACUUUCUAGACUUUGUAUCAAAUUUACUUUGGCUUUGUAAUGUUUGAUUUAUUUAUUUUUUAUAAACUCUUAUUUAUUUUGUAACGGCUAUAUAGCGGUCAUCUUAUCCUUCAAUAAUUACUAAUUUAUUUACAACUAUCUCUUAAUACUCUCUCUUUCUUUUACCUACAAAUUGUUACUCCGAAUAUAAUUGGAAAGCGAAAUUGAUAUAUCAAGACAAAAAUAUUCCUAUUUCUCUUUAUGUAUCUUUCUUUUCCUCGUUGAAUUAUACACAUAACUUUGUUCCCAUUCCUUCUGUUAUUCUAUCGCAUUGAGUUUCUAUUUUGAGGGCCGGAAUUAUACUUAAAAAUGGUGCUUUGUACACUUCAAACAUUUGAUUUUAUUCUCUCAGCAUUUUCAAUAGAUUUCCAACAAUUAUUAUUUUCAUAUUAUCUAACGUUUUCUCAACAAUCUUGACGGCAAUUGCCUUAUGGAUUCCCUGGUCUCUACUGUCUCGCACCAGUUUCUCCGGCGGUUUGAUGUUGGCUAGCGGUUUUACUGUCGCGACACCUUUAAUCAUUGUCGUUGCGGCUCUUCUUAACCGAUCGCGAUGUUAGCUGGGUUCACUCCUAUGUGGAGGAGGCCCAAUGAGUUGCAAGCCCAAAAAGGGCUUGAGUCCAUAUGAUAAGUUAUAUGAGGAAAUAUGGUUUCUUACUAUUUAUAUAAAGUGAUGGUCGCAAAAGAAAAUAGUUACAAGAGAAAAAAAGAAAGAAUAAAAUCUGAGGUUUGGGGCAAGAUCUGAUUUACAUCAAGCUAGCGUGGAGGUCGCUUCAUGGUCCGAUUGAGCUAAAAUUUUGUCAGCAUGUUCAUGGCGCAAUUUUAUCGAAUCUGAACGGUUUGAUUUUCGUUUGAAGCUCCCUACAUCAGGUUUUUCAUGGAUUGAUCAAAACCUACAUUUUUGGUCAGAUUUAUCCUUGAUCUCUUGUGAAAUUCAUGUGUAUUACCAAGAAUUAUGUUCUUGAGGUCUUUGCUGCUAUGUACUUCUAGUAUUUGCUAGAGAAGAACAAUUUUGUUGAUAGUGAAGAAUUUUGGGUGGACUUCGGUCCCGUGGUUUUUGAUCUCCUCACAUCGAGAAGGUUUUCCACGUAAAAAAAAUCGUCUUGUGUUCGCUUGAUUGGUAUUUAUUUUACUCUACUAUAUCAAUUCCUAUUAGGUUUACACAAGAGUGGAUAUUAUUUUAUUCCACUGUGUUGAUUCGAUAUUGUUCGAAUUGUUUCUGUUCUCCCAUCAAAGUGGUAUAAGAGCAUCUAGUUAUUGCUUGAUUUUUCUGCCUUGUGUUAAACAAUGGAAACGAAUACGAGUAGAAUGGUUACUUUGAAUGGUUCGAAUUAUCAUAUUUGGAAAGGGAAGAUGGAAGACCUUUUAUAUGUGAAAGAUUUUGAUUUGCCCGUAUUUGCCGAUGAGAAACUAGAGAAUUAAACUGAUGCUAAAUGGUCUAUAUUUCAUCGUCAAGUGUGUGGUUAUAUUAGGCAGUGGGUGGAUGAUAAUGUUUUGAACCAUAUUAUUGAGGAAACACAUGCACGCAGUUUAUGAGAUACGCUCGAACAAUUAUAUGCUCGAAAGACUGGGAAUAAUAAGUUAUUUUUGAUAAAACAGAUGAUGGCUUUGAGAUAUCAAGAUGGUACUCGUUUGACUGAUCAUUUAAAUUCUUUUCAAGGAAUUAGAAAUUAGUUGGCUGUGAUGGGAAUCAAGUUUGAUGAUGAGAUACAAGCAUUAUGGUUGCUUGGUACUUUGCCGAACUCCUAGGAGACAUUCCAACAUCUUUGUCUAAUUCUGCCCCAGAUGGUACAAUUACCAUGGAUUUGGCUAAGAGUAGUAUUUGAAUGAAGAGAUGAGAAGGAAGACACAAGGAUCGUCCUCUUCACAUUCUGAUGCCUUGGUUGUUGAGAAAAUGGGAAGAAGUGAAUCUCGAGGUCCGAGAAAUAGAGAUAAAAGUCAAGAUAAAAGCAGAAGUAAGUAUAAUAAAUUUGCUAAUGUUGAGUACCAUUAUUGUCAUCAGAAGGGACAUAUUCAAAGGUUUUGUCGCUAGUUAAAAAGGAAGAAACAAAAGGAGAAAGGUAAAGAGAAGAAAAGUGAUAAUGACAGUGAUGACAAUCGUGUCGCUGCACUUAAAGAAGACUUUCUCGUUAUUUUUUAUUGUGAUGUGGUGAAUUUUGUAUCUCAUGAGACCAGUUGGGUAAUUGAUAGUGAUGCAUCCGUUUAUGCUACGUCUCGUAGGGAUUUCUUUACAUCAUACAGGUCAGGUGACUUCGGAUUUGUGAAGAUGGGAAACAAUGGGCUAGCUCAAGUUGUAGGCAUCGGUGAUGUGUGCCUAGAAACCAACAAUGGCACAAGGUUAGUAUUAAAUAAUGUUAAACAUAUACCUGAUAUCCGCUUGAAUUUGAUUUCUACAGGCAAGUUGGAUGAUGAGAGGUAUUGCAGCAUCUUCAGUAAUGGUCAAUGGAAGCUCACCAAAGGUUCUCUUGUUGUGGCUAGAGGUGAAAAAUAUUCUUCAUUGCAUAUUAUGCAGGCAAAGUUGUCCACAGUCAAAAUUAAUGCAAUAGACAACGAAGAUAUGGCAUCCGGGAAUUUCAACCCGAAAUAUUGAUUUUGAGGGAAACGAUAUUUGACUUUGAAUGGCCAUAGGGACAAUUACAUCAUCGGCCACGAUAUUUUAUCUCUUGGACUGAACCCCUUAUGAAAAUGUUAAUUGAUUAUGAGAAUGUUAAUUGAUUUCUAUAAAUAAAAAUCAAAAUCAAAUGCCCUAAAGUGGUAUAGGAAUUAUGGGCUUAUUAUCGAUAUUUUUCUAUGGGCUAUUUAAAUUGGACAUAGGACGAUUUGAUAAAGAAGACUUUGUUCUUGACUAUGCACUUUAUAGAUUUGAUGGAUUAAUGUCACAAAGUCUUUUGGUCAUUUUAUUAUGCAAUUAGGUAUUUAUUUAAAUGAGGAUUAAAAUGUAUUAUUAAAAAUAAACUUGGGCCAUUUAAGUUUGGGCUUUAGGCCCAAGUGAGAUGGGCCUAAAGUGGGCCAUAAGCCCGGCCCAUGUCGACGCAUGUAGGGGGAAGGAGGAGCCGCAUGGCUUCCUCCAAGUGUCUUCGGCAAAGGAGACACUUGUCUCCUUCUUAGGGACAAGUGUCCCCCAUGCAAAAUAAGAAUGCAUGCAAAUAUAUAUACGACCAAAAAGUGAGAGAGAGAGAGAGAGAGAGAGAGAGAGAGAGAGAGAGAGAGAGAGUGAGUUGCGAGAGAGAGGAACCGAGAGGGAGGAGAGGAAGGAGCUCGCCGUUCGUCCGCCCGCACGCUGUCCGCCGCCCGUCCGUCGCCGUCCGUGUGCUGUCGUCCGCUUGAUCUUAGAGCCAAGUUAGGAUCAAUUUCUACUCUUGCAUGUGUGUCUUGCAUAUGUGAUUGGUUGGUGGUAGAUCUCGGAUGUUUAGGGUAGGCAAAACCAAAGCUAGAGUGUGACUUGUUCUUGAAAAAGCUUGCUGAUUUCAUGUAAACCGCCUGACCCAGAAACUUGUGGAGGCUUGCAUGCAUGUUUCGAAUUGGAUUUCGACCUUGAUUCCUUCAUGAAAGUUGUAGCCAACAUCUUAAACUACAACUUACUAAAAUUUGGGACAAAAUGGUGGAGAUUUAAUGUGGCACCCCUCGACGGCCCCCGAUCCGAUUAGGGUCGCCACAGUUCGCUUACCAUUCACUUUUCCUAAUAACAUGUCACUCCGCUACCAUUUCAAUUGCAGCGGGUCCAUACAACCUGGGGGUUUACAUCUUUUAGAUUGGUCCCUUCCACAAUUUAUAUACGGAAGCACAUCCAACAACUCACUUCCCUAUAUUCAGAAAACGAUGCACACCUACUAAACAUUUAUAGGUAAAAGCCGUACACUUUUAUUCACUUAAACCAUAUGGACAUCGUUCAUCGGUACAUCAAAAUGCCAUAGUUUUCUAUACUUGGCUAUACGUCAAAGGAUGACCAACAUGUCUUCCAACAGUUGUAUACUUAAAGUCCAUCGAUCAGUGUCGGUGUCCAAAAGUUCAUUCAUUUGCUAUCCUCCUCCUCGCGGUCAUAUCCAACUACUUAAUCCAUCUACUAAUUUGAAAUGUUGGUCCCCGAAGGGGUGAGUACAGCCACUCAGCAAGUAAAGGACCAAUAAACCACUCAAUGCAUCAUGCCACACAAUCAUCACAAUCAUAGCAUCACAUGACAUUUAAGCAUCCAUGCACAAUUUACCUUGAUAUCAUGCACAUAUCAUCAUACCUCAUGUACAUACAUUAUCAUAUAGUCAUCACCAUCAUGUCAUACACUUACCAUCAUCAUUACCAUGCAUCCAUGCACAUAUCAUCAUCAUAUUACAUGUACCAUCAUCAUUACCAUGCAUCCAUGCACUCAUCAUCAUCAUAUCACAUGUACCGUCAUCAUUACCAUGCAUCCAUGCACAUAUCAUCAUCAUAUCACAUGCAUCCAUGCACAUAUCAUCAUCAUAUCACAUGUAUCAUCAUCAUUACCAUGCAUCCAUGCACUCAUCAUCAUCAUAUCACAUGUACCAUCAUCAUUACCAUGCAUCCAUGCACAUAUCAUCAUCAUGUCACACAUGCCAUCAUGCCACAGGUGCNNNNNNNNNNNNNNNNNNNNNNNNNNNNNNNNNNNNNNNNNNNNNNNNNNNNNNNNNNNNNNNNNNNNNNNNNNNNNNNNNNNNNNNNNNNNNNNNNNNNGCACUUACCAUCAUGCAUUCAUGCAUAUAUCACCAUGCCAUAUGUGCACAUACCACCAUGAUUCAUAUCAUCCAUGCUAUCAAGCAUACAUCACCAUGAGAUCCAUUCAUGCCUUCAUGAUCGCAUUUUCAAUAUCAAAUAGCAUCAACUUAUUUUCAUAAGCCGAUCAUGCAUCAUGCCAUAUGCAUACACCCAUGCACAUGAUUCAUUUUCAAUUCUUAUCUUUCAUAAGGAUCUCAUCAGUUUUUCUUUCCAGGGACCAAUGUUUGCAUCCCACAAUUUAUCGCUCGCACCCAAUCCUGGCAUCGUAAGGAACCUCCGGGCAUAUAUUCAAAAUACAACCGAGCAUCCGGCCCCCCACAUUCCGAGCAUCUCGCAUCCCAACUAGCAUCACGAGGCAUCCCCCCGAGCACAAACCUCUGGGGCUUCCGGAAUUACGUACCGACAUACCACCAGGAUCCCCCCCCUCUUCUGGAAUUACGUACCGUAUACCACCGGGCAUCUCGAAACUCCCGAGGACCCUCCGGAAUUAUGCCACUAGGCCACCGGGCAUCCGGCACUCCCUAGCCAGGCAUCCCGACACUCCCGGGGCAUCGUCGGCUCACACCUCCGACGGCCUUCUCACUUAUCUCAAUUCACAUCUUCAAUUAUAGUUCAAUUUUAACAUGGCAUGUGAUGUGAUGGCAAUCAAGAUCAUUUUCAUCCUUUGAUUCAUACAUGCAUCUCAAAUCAUCAUCAUACAUGCAGCAAGACACAAUCAAUCAUAACAAUACAAUUCAUGGAGUCCAUACAAUUUAGAAUAGUCCAUUUAUCAUGCCUUUUUGAAGUUUACUAAAUUCCAGCUUGUACCAUUUUAGAAAACAUUUAAAUUAAAUAUCCAUAUAAUCCUCAAAAAUCAUGAAAUCAGGACAUGUGAUAGACAAGACAGUAAGAUAAAAAUUUCAUGAAGAACACAUGCCCGAAAGAGUUUCACACAAGAAGAUAUAAUUCACGCAAAUACAGCAUGUAAUUUCGGAUAGAAACAGAAUGUGCAGUUUUUGAAAUAAUUCGAUUAAAAUACCCGAAUGACCUCCGAAAAUUAUGAAAUUUUACCAGGUUAUAUUUAAGACACUAAAGUAGAUUUUUCAUGCAGACAUCUAGGCCAUAUUCGUUCUCGAUAAUUUUCUACAGACGUCCGAAUCUCCUGUUUCUAGCACCGAAACGUCCAGUUUAGCUAUCUCCGAAAUAUCGAGUUUUCACCUACUUAUCCUUCUUCGUUUCCUCUGAAAUUUUGAUAAUGUUUGCCUCAAGAGGUCCCCUACAACUUUCAUUAAGAGAUAUAAGUGAAAUUUCCAAAGAAUAGUCACCAUAUGGGUCCAAGAAGUCUCGGGUGUCCAGUACCGUAUUUCCAGAUUUACCAUCUUCAAGAGAAAGUCGAUUCACUAGGCUACACUUGUUCAUUUUACCUCACAUUUGAGUAUGUUAGUCUUUAUGAUGUUCUCUACAAGUUUCAUGAAGAAGUCGAAGGGAAAUUCUCGGUAAAAAGCAACAUGCAACCCACAAAACUACCAAAAGGUCAGCAAAGCAGUUCCAGAUCUAGUGUCUUCGUAGGAAGAGGGUUUUACCCCUUAAAUCUCAAUAAUUUUGUCCCAACUUUUAUUAUGUUAUAUUUUGAGAUGUUUUCUACAACUUUCAUGAAGGAGUCAAAGUCAAAAUCCAACUCGAAACAUGCAUGCAAGCCUCCACAAGUUUCUGGGUCGGGCGGUAUACACGAAAUCAGCAAGCUUUUUCAAGAACAAGUCACACUCUAGCUUCGGUUUUGUCUACCCUAAACAUCCGAGAUCUACCACCAACAAAUCACACAUGCAAGACACACAUGCAAGAGUAGAAAUCGAUCCUAACUUUCCUCUAAGAUCAAGCGGAUGACAGCACACGGACGGCACACCGGCGACAGACGGACAGCGUGCGGGCGGACGAACGGCGAGCUCCUUCCUCUCCUCCCUCUCGGUUCCUCUCUCUCGCAACUCACUCUCUCUCUCUCUCUCUCUCUCUCUCUCUCUCUCUCUCUCUCUCUCACUUUUUGGUCGUAUAUAUAUUUGCAUGCAUUCUUAUUUUGCAUGGGGGACACUUGUCCCUAAGAAGGAGACAAGUGUCUCCUUUGCCGAAGACACUUGGAGGAAGCCAUGCGGCUCCUCCUUCCCCCUACAUGCGUCGACAUGGGCCGGGCUUAUGGCCCACUUUAGGCCCAUCUCACUUGGGCCUAAAGCCCAAACUUAAAUGGCCCAAGUUUAUUUUUAAUAAUACAUUUUAAUCCUCAUUUAAAUAAAUACCUAAUUGCAUAAUAAAAUGACCAAAAGACUUUGUGACAUUAAUCCAUCAAAUCUAUAAAGUGCAUAGUCAAGAACAAAGUCUUCUUUAUCAAAUCGUCCUAUGUCCAAUUUAAAUAGCCCAUAGAAAAAUAUCGAUAAUAAGCCCAUAAUUCCUAUACCACUUUAGGGCAUUUGAUUUUGAUUUUUAUUUAUAGAAAUCAAUUAACAUUCUCAUAAUCAAUUAACAUUUUCAUAAGGGGUUCGGUCCAAGAGAUAAAAUAUCGUGGCCGAUGAUGUAAUUGUCCCUAUGGCCAUUCAAAGUCAAAUAUUGUUUCCCUCAAAAUCAAUAUUUCGGGUUGAAAUUCCCGGAUGCGACAUUUAAGGGGUAAAACCCUCUUCCUACGAAGACACUAGAUCUGGAACUGUUUUGCUGACCUUUUGGUAGUUUUGUGGGUUGCAUGUCGAUUUUUACCAAGAAUCUCUCUUCGGCUUCUUCAUGAAACUUGAAGAUAACAUCCUAAGGACUAACAUACUCAAAUUUGAGGUAAAAUGAGCAAGUGUAGCCUAGUGAAUUGACUUUCUCUUGAAGACGGUAAAUCUGAAAAUACGGUACUGGACACCCGAGAUUUCUUGGACCCAUAUGGUGACUAUUCUCUGGAAAUUUCACUUAGAUUCAUUAAUUAAAGUUGUAGGGAACCUCUUGAGGAACAACAUAUCCAAAUUUCAGAGGAAACGAAGAAGAAUAAGUGGGUGAAAACUCGAUAUUUCGGAGAUAGCUAUACUGGACGUUUCGGUGUUAGAAACAGGAGCUUCGGACGCCUGUAGAAAAUUAUCUAGAGCGAAUCUGGCCUAUAUGUCUUCAUGAAAAAUAUACUUUAGUGUCUUAACUAUAACCUGGUAAACUUUCAUAAUUUUCGAAGGUCAUUCGGGUUUUUUAAUCGAAUUAUUUCAGAAACUGCGCAAUCUGAGUUUAUCCGAAAUUACAUGCUGUAUUUGUGCAAAUUAUAUCUUCUUGUGCGAAACUCUUUUGGGCAUGUGUUCUUCAUGAGAUUGUUACCUUAUUGUCUUGUCUAUCACAUGUCCUGAUUUCAUGAUUUUUCAAAAUCAUAUGGAUAUUUAAUUUAAAUAUUUUCUAAAAUUGUGCAAGCUGGAAAUUUAGUAAAUUUCAAAAAGGCAUGAUAUAUGGACUAUUCUAAGUUGUGUGAACCCCAUGGAUUGUAUUGUCAUAUGUGGUUGCAUGUAUGAUGAUGAUUGGAAACGCAUAUAAGAAUUAAAUUGAUGAUAAUGAUCUUGUUUGCCAUCACAUUAUAUGCCAUGUUGAAAUUGAGCCACAAUUGUGAAUAUAAACUAUGAUAAAUGAGAAUGCCGUCGGAGGUUUGAGCCAACGAUGCCCCGGGAGUGUCGGGAUGUAUGGCUAGAAUGGUAAAGGCCGGAUGCCCAGUGGCCUAGUGGCGUAAUUCCGGAGGGUCCUCGGGAGUUUCGAGAUGCCCGGUGGUAUACGGUACGUAAUUCCAAAUGAGGGGAGGAUCCUGGUGGUAUGUCGGUACGUAAUUCCGGAAGCCCCGGAGGUUUGUGCCCGGGGGGAUGCCUCGUGAUGCUAGUUGGGAUGCGAGAUGCCCGGAAUGUGGGGGGCCGGAUGCCCGGUUGUAUUUUGAAUACAUGCCUGGAGGUUCCUCGUGAUGCCUGGUUGGGUGUGAGUGAUGAAUUGUGGGAUGCAAACAUUGGUCCAUGGAAAGAAAAACUGAUGAGAUCCUUGUGAAAGAUAAUAAUUGAAAAUGAAUCAUGUGCAUGGGUGUAUGCAUAUGGCAUGAUGCAUGAUCAGCUUAUGAAAAUAAAUUGAUUCUAUUUGAUAUCGAAAAUGCGAUCAUGAAUGCAUGAAUGGAUCUCAUGGUGAUAUAUGCAUGGAUGCAUGAUGGUAAGUGCAUGGAUGUAUGUGCACCUAUGGCAUGAUGGUAUGUGUGACAUGAUGAUGAUGAGUGCAUGGAUGCAUGGUAAUGAUGAUGAUACAUGUGAUAUGAUGAUGAUAUGUGCAUGGAUGCAUGGUAAUGAUGAUGGUACAUGUGAUAUGACGAUGAUGAGUGCAUGGAUGCAUGGUAAUGAUGAUGGUAAGUGUAUGCCAUGAUGGUGAUGACUAUAUGAUGAUGUAUGUACAUGAGGUAUGAUGAUAUGUGCAUGAUAUCAAUGUAAAUUGUGCAUGGAUGCUUAAAUGUCAUGUGAUGCUAUGAUUGUGAUGAUUGUGUGGCAUGAUGCAUUGAGUGGUUUAUUGGUCAUGUACUUGCUGAGUGGCUGUACUCACCCCUUCGGGAACCAACAUUUCAGAUUAGUAGAUGGAUUGAGUAGUUGGAUAUGACCGCGAGGAGGAGGAUAGCAAAGGAAGGAACUUUUAGACAUCGACACUGAUCGAUGGACUUUAAGUAUACGACUGUUGGAAGAGAUGUUAGUCAUCCUUUGAAGUAUAGCCAAGUAUAGAAAACUAUGGCAUUUUGAUGUACCGAUGAACGAUGUCCAUAUGGUUUAAGUGAAUAAAAGUGUAUGGCUUUUACUUAUAAAUGUUUAGUAGGUGUGCAUCGUUUUCUGAAUAUAGGAAAGGGAGUUGUUGGAUGUGCUUCCGUAUAUAAAUUGCGCAAGGGACCGAUCUAAAAGAUGUAAACCCCCAGGUUGUAUGGACCCACUGCAAUUGAAAUGGUAUCAGAGUGACAUGUUAUUAGGAAAAGUGAAUGGUAAGCGAACUGUGGCGACCCUAAUCGGAUCGGGGGCCGUCGAGGGGUGCCACAGAAGAUGCAGUUGAGUUAUGGCAUAAGAGACUCAGUCACAUUAGUGAAAAGGGUUUGUCACUAUUGGCCAAGAAGAAGCUCCUUUCAGGAUUGAAAAGUUCAGCGCUAAAGAAGUGUGCUCACUGUUUAGUAGGAAAACAGAACAGAGUUGCAUUUAAAAGCUCCUCUCCUUCAAGAAAGUCAAGUAUACUAGAUUUAGUGCAUUUUGAUGUUUACGGUCCUAUGAAAACAAAAUCACUUGGUGGCUCUCUUUAUUUUGUUACCUUCAUAUAUGAUUUUUCAAGGAAAAUUUGGAUUCAUACCUUGAAAACUAAAGAUCAAGUGUUAGAUACUUUUAAGCAAUUUCAUGUUUCAGUUGAGAAACAGAUUGGAAAGAAAUUGAAAUGCAUCUGAACUGAUAACGAGGGAGAAUAUAUUUGACCUUUCGAUGAAUAUUGCAGACAACAAGGUAUUCGACAUCAAAAGACACCUCCCAAGACGCCUCAGUUAAAUGGCUUAGCUAAGAGAAUGAACAGAACACUAGUUGAAAGGGUAAGAUGCUUACUUUCACAGUGAAAGCUACAUGGAUCCUUUUGGGAUGACGCUUUAAGUACGGUUGUACAUGUAUUAAAUCUUACUCCAUGCAUUCCUUUAGAGUUUGAUGUUCCUAACAGAGUUUGGACAUGCAAAGAUGUUUCUUAUGAUUAUUUGCAUGUCUUUGGGUGCAAAGCAUUUGUGCAUAUUCCCAAAGAUGAGAGGUCUAAACUUGAUGUGAAAACACAACAGUACAUAUUUAUCGGUUAUGGACAGGAUAUGCUUGGCUACAAAUUUUAAGAUCCGGUUGAAAAGAAAAUUGUAAAAAGCAAAGACGUUGUGUUUAUGGAAGAUCAAACAAUAAAUGAUAUUGAGAAAGUAGAGAUGAUUUCAGCAUCACAGGUUAGUGAUAAUCUAGUUGAUUUAGAUCCAGUUCCUCUUACAAAUAUUCCUACACAGGUUGAUGAAGAGCAGCUGGAAGUCAAUGUUCCAAAUAAUGCAUAUGUUCCUAAACAUGUUGAAACAGACAAUAAUAUUCCUGAACCAGAGGCUCAAUUAGAUGUUCCAUUGGAUGUUCAAGUCCGGAGAUCCGUUAGAGACCGACGACCUUCCACCAGGUAUUCUGAAGAUGAGUAUGUAUUAUUGACUGAUGUAGAUGAACCAAAGUGCUAUGCAGAAGCAAUAGAAGAUGAGUACAAAAGCAAUUGGUUCGAUGCUAUAAGAGAUGAGAUACAGUCACUUUAUGAUAAUCAUACUUUUGAGUUGGUGAAGUUACCUAAAGGUAAAAGAGCUUUGAAGAACAAGUGGGUAUAUAGGUUGAAGUAAGAUGAACAUACUUCACAACCACGAUACAAAGCUAGAUUGGUUGUUAAGGGAUUCGACAGAGAAAUGGCAUUGAUUUUGAUGAUAUAUUUUCUUCGGUAGUGAAAAUGUCUUCUAUCCGUAUGGUACUAGGCUUGGCAGCUACUCUAGAUUUGGAAAUUGAGCAAAUAGAUGUUAAAACAGCCUUCCUACAUGGUGACUUGGAGGAAGAAAUAUACAUGGAACAACCUAAGGGUUUCAAAGUGAAAGGGCAAGAUGAUUAUAUAUGCAAAUUGAAGAAAAGUCUCUAUGGCCUAAAACAAGCACCGAGGCAGUGGUACAAAAAGUUUGCGUCAGUUAUGACAGAACAUGGCUAUAAGAAGACUUCCUUGGAUAACUGUGUGUUUGUCCAAAAUUUUUCUUAUGAUGACUUUAUUAUUCUCUUGCUUUAUGUUAAUGAUAUGCUGAUUGUUGGCAAUAAUGCUUCAAGAAUUGAGUUAUUGAAGAAACAAUUGAGCAAGUCUUUUGCCAUGAAAGACUUGGGCUUGGGCUUGGCGAAGCAGAUUCUUGGCAUUAGAAUUACUUGAGACAGAGAUGCUAAGAAGUUAUUUUUGUCGCAAGAGAAAUAUAUCGAGAAGAUCCUUCAGAAAUUUUACAUGGACAAGGCUAAAAUGGUUAGUACUCCUCUUGCUGUUUACUUUAAGUUAAAUAUGAAGCAAAGUCCCAUGACUGAUAAAGAGAAGAAAGAUAUGGAAAGUGUUCCAUAUGCUUUAGCUGUAGGAAGCUUAAUGUAUGCAAUAGUAUGUACACGCCCAGACUUGGCGCACGCAGUUGGCGUUGUUAGUCGCUAUUUGUCAAACCAAGGCAGAGAGCACUGAAAUGCAGUGAAGUGGAUUAUGAGGUAUCUUCGGGGAACUUCAAAUUUGAAACUCAGUUUCGGGACCGAGAAACUUGAGUUAGUUGGACACACAAAUUCUAACUUGGCAAGAGAUAUUGAUACUCGUAAAUCUACUUCUAGUUAUUUGAUUUCUUUUGCGAGUGGAGCUGUGUCAUGGAAGUCAAGAUUGCAGAAGUGUGUUGCACUUUCUACAACCGAAGCUGAAUUUAUUGCAGCGAUUGAAGCGAGUAAAGAGAUGUGAUGGAUGAAGAAUUUCUUAGAACUUGGGUUCAAGCAAAAGAGGUAUGUGCUAUUUUGUGAUAAUCAAAGCGCAAUUCAUCUUGGUAAGAAUUCAUCUUUUCAUUCUAGAUCAAAACAUAUUAAUGUUAGAUAUCAUUGGAUAAGAGAUGUUCUAGAUGAAAAGUUGUUGGAACUUGAGAAAAUUCAUACGAAUCAUAAUGGCUCUGAUAUGAUGACGAAAACUCUAUCAAGAGAGAAGCUUGAACAUUGCCAAUUGAUAGCAGGGAUGGUGAAUCCUUACUAUGUGGAGGAGGCCCAAUAAGUUGCAAGCCCAAAAAGGGCUUGAGCUCCUAUGAUAAGCUAUAUGAGGAAAUAGGAUUUCUCACUAUCUAUAUAAAGUGAUGGUCAUAAAAGGAAAUAGUAACAAGAGAAAAAGAGAAAGUAGAAAAUCUGGGGUUUGGGGUAAUAUCUGAUUUACAUCAAGCUGGCAUCGGAAGUCGAUUCAUGGUCCGAUUGAGCUGAAAUUUUGUCAGCAUGUUCGUGACGCAAUUUUAUCGAAUCUGAACGGUUUGAUUUUCGUUUGAAGCUCCCCACAUCAGGAUUUUCAUGGAUUGAUCAAAACCUACAUUUUUGGUCAGAUUUAUCCUCGAUCUCUUGUAAAAUUCAUGUGUAUUGCCAAGAAUUAUGUUCUUAAGGUCUUUGCUACUAUGUACCUCUAGUAUUUGCUAGAGAAGAACAAUUUUGUUGAUAGUGAAAAUUUUUGGGUGGACUUCGAUCCCGUGGUUUUUGAUCUCCUCACAUCGAGGAUGUUUUCCACAUAAAAGAAAUUGUAUUGUGUUCGCGUGAUUGGUAUUUAUUUUACUCUACUAUAUCAAUUCCUAUUACAUUUACAUAAGAUGGGAGAUUAUUUUAUUCCGCUGCGUUGAUUCGAUAUUGUUCGAAUUGUUAUUGUUCUCCCAUCAUGUGACUUAGUUCACUUCGACGAUCGCAAUUCCAAUGGGGCAACCAUGACUCCGGCGGCUUUAUCUACAAUCUGCUGUCACGUCUCCAGCUCUGCCGCUGUGUAUCCUUCUCCAUGACACUCAGGCGAUGAUGAAAUCCAUCAACUAAGACCCAUGCCUGCAAGAGGGACCGGCGAACUUCAGGGCGUUUAGUGGAAAUGAGGUCAGGGCGUAGGAACGGAUCCAUAGCACAGCUGCUUCAUGAUAGCUAUGCGCGUUAUCACCUCACCACCGCUAGAGCCACAAUCAACCCUGAAUCAUCUCACUCUACUGAAUCAAGCCAAGCAUCGUUGUUGGACCAUCGGGUCAUUUCGUAUUAAACUCAGAUUCUCUGAUUUAUCUCUACUACAUUGUCUAGCUGAGUAUCCUAGGUCAUAUUUUGUUUUGAAUUGUUAGCUAUUCUGUUUAUUAGAUGCUUCACACCACAUGCUCACAACUUGUUCGACAGAAUGCCUAACUCAAUCGUGGAUAGUUAGUCCUAUUGCAUUCUGUUUAUAAACAUUUUGAUGUCCAAUUGAUGUCGGUUGCGUCUUGCUGCAUUUCCUGUACAUAGUUCAUUAAUAUGCAAAUGGAUUGGAUAUAUAGGUGAUGUAUGUCGAAUGCUGUUCACAAGUGUUUUGAAUGUAUCAAAUCCUAUUCAUAUGUGGUUGUGCAUGUCAAAUGAUGCUCAUGCGUGUUACUUUGAGAUCGUGAGGUGCUGAAGGAAAGAGAAGAGAAUGCGGGACGUUAUCAAUUAGAGGUGAAUUUGAAUGAAAUAGGCUUAGUUUGACUAUUCUCUUACAUGUUCAUGAUUAUGGGUAGUGUCUAAUCUCUUUUUCAGGGUUCAAAGCAUGUUUACAAAUCAAGACAUUGCUUGGCAUGUUUUGACAUACUUCAUUGAACAUGAUUCCUAACAAAUUUGGCUUAAUUCAAUGCUAAUUUACUUGUUUGUAAAUAGAGGCUCACAUGUCAAUAGUUUUUAGGUACUUUUUAAGCAUGUUUAGACCUCAUUUUUAGUUCCAGUUCAGGACCGUGCUUGCUGGGUGUUGUUGGACCGUGCAUACUAGCAAUGUGGUCUAAUAUAUCCAUGAUAUGGAUUUUUUUUGUGGCCAGUAUGAUGACAUGGAGUAAGUUAUAAUAUAUAUAUGAAAAGAAUGAAAAACAAGAACAAGCGCCACCACACACCAAGAAUUUUGUAUGUUCCUACUCACAUUCCAUUUUUAUAUGAAAUCCAAGAAUUUUGUGCAGCAUCCUUCCUUAAUUUUUCUUGCAAAGUGAUAGGCAUGGAAGUUCUGAUCUAAAGAUUGAGGGUUGGAAACUUACUGAUCUGUCAAUUAAAGAGUUAUGUGAUGGACUUCAAUUGCUAAAAUGCGUACACAUUGGUCUAUUAUGCAUUGCAGAAGAUCCGGCAAACUAACUGACUAUGUCAUUUGUGGUUCAUAUGUGAGGAGACGAUACUAUCCGCGAUACUAUCACACUUACCCAACCAUCGCAGUCUGCAUUCUCAGUUGGGAGAUAUGUGAAAACACUUGAUUCUAUCGGCCCGAUUCACAAAGCUUCCACUGUUAAUGAACUAACAAUUACAAAUGUUUCACCUAGAUGACCAAGUAUCAUCAAUCCUCCUCCAGUUCAUUUCUCUUUUAUACCAUGGUAGGUAGAAUGAUAAUUAUAGUGUGUGAUCUCUUUAGCAUUGUGACUGCCAUUUCUUAAUCCUUGAUUUCCGCAAUCAUCGAUUAGUAAUUGUAAGGUUAAAAAGCCCAAUAGUCGGCAUUUCUAUCCAAUUUAUCACUUUUGUUCUAUCAUAAUUAUACAUAUACUUACUUGAGAUAUAUAUCAAUUUGUAACCCAUUGAUAAAUUAAAAUUUAAGCAUAUAUAAAUUUGAUAUUUUACCUUUAGUAUAUUCAUCGAAAUCUAAUUUGUGAUGAAUAUUAUAAUUAAAUACUAGAUAACAAAUGAGUAGAAAGUCCUGAAUUCAAAUCUCUCUAAACCCCCAUGUACCUCUUUUACUUGCGAAUGUUCAACCUAUGCAUGUGGAGGAAUGUUAGAUUAUCCAUAUAUUAGAUGACGUCUUCAUCUAAUAGUUUAGAGAAAAUCAUUCAUAAAGUCCUACACCUAUUGUACUCUUGUUAAUUCAAUCAUAGACAUUUUUACCUUUUGUCAAUUGAGUCUAUCCGGCUAAGUUUAAUAGAAAAUCGCUAACAUGAAUGCUGGAUGUCUUAUGUGUCACAUGAACAUUUUAAAUAAUAUUUAAUAAAUUUUUUAUUUUUUUAUAUUUUUUAAUCCUUCCCUUCCCUUUCUUUUCUUUUCUUUGGACUCAAGUCGGCAAAGGUAUCGCGGCGUUGCCCCAAAAGGGGAGAGGGCAUCGUGGCCUUUGCUUCGGGCCAAGGCUAGCAAGGGUCACCACGCCCUUGCCUUGCCUAGAUUUCGUAUGGGCAAUGCGGCCAUUGCCAAACUCCUAACCCUUGCCCACUGGCUGGCAAGGGCCAUACACCCUCUCUAGCCCGAAUCCAAAAAAACGGUAAAGAAAAAAAAAAGAGAAAACAUAAUUAGAAAUUCAAUAAGAUGUUAAAAUAUCAUUAAAAAAAAUGUCUACAUUAGCGUCAGCCAUGCCAUGUAAGACGUUUGGCAUCUACGUCAUCCAUUUCUGGCCAAAAUUGCCUAGAUGAGUUCAAUCGAUAAAAAGUGAAAACAUUUAUAACUCAGUUGGCACAAUUAGAAGGUUUUAAAUUGAAUUGGAAAAAGCGUAAUAGGUUUAGGAUAUUUUGGAUAAUUUUCUUCACAAAAAUUCAUAAUCAAUGACCUAUUUUCAUUUGAUAUAAUUAAGUAAAAAGAAAACAAUGUGUAAUGCCAAGCAAUAGUAUCAAGUAGGGGUGUGCAACCAAACUAGUUCUACCCAGGAACCGAAUCGGACCGCCUGAAAAAUAGGUCUAGGAACCGGUUCAGGAACGAGUUCCAAAUUUUUGGAAUUGGUUGUAAUAGGUCCAGUAAUAGGUUCCGAGUGAAUACCCACUCGAGAACUAGAUCAGACCGUCCUAUUUUGGAACCGAUUUUAUAAGCUAAAAAGCCAAAAUCCUAAUUUCUUUUCCCAUAAAUUCUAACCUUAGCAAUUUUUCGUCAUUUGUCCUUCCUCAAAGCUCCUCACCAAUCUUUCCUCUUCCCUAAUUAAUGACCUAUUUUCAUUUGAUAUAAUUAAGUAAAAAGAAAACGAUGCGUAAUGCCAAGCAAUAGUAUCAAGUAGGGGUAUGCAACCAAACUAGUUCUACCCGGGAACUGGAUUGGACCGCAUGAAAAACAGGUCCACGAACCAGUUCGGGAACAUGUUCCAAAUUUUUGGAACUAGUUGUAAUAGGUCCAGUAAUAGGUUCCGAGCGAAUACCCACUCGGGAACUAGAUCAGAUCGUCCUAUUUUGGAACCAAUUUUAUAAGCUAAAAAGCCAAAAUCCUAAUUUCUUUUUCCCAUAAAUUCUAACCUUAGCACUUUUUCUUCCUUUGUCCUUCCUCAAAGCUCCUCACCAAAAAAAGAAAAAGAAAAAUAGUUAAUGAUACAUUCAUCCAAUGAAUUAUGACUUCUCUUUCCUCUUCCCUAAAGUUUUAUGGAUGAUUGGAGAAUGUAAUUUUAUAAUUUACGUUAUAUGUUACAUGUUUGAACUUUUUGUCACUAUAAUUGUACGGGAUUACGUAUUCAUAAUAUGAAUUUCAUAUUAUGGAUUGUUGUUUAUGGUGGAUAGCAAUUUCUGUUGUUCAUCUUUUACAUUAAAUCGUUUCGUUACUCAUAACCUCAUAUGAUUUUGCUAGCAAAAAUGAACCCAAAAAAGGCAAAAAAUAUAAUAAAAAAGGUUCUCGAGUAGACUUUGGAACUGGACUGGAAAAAUAUGAUAGGUUCCAGAAUCGAUUUCAAGCAAACAGGGUAGGUUACAGGGUCCAAAAACUUGGAACUGGUUAUAACAAAAUACGUUCAGGUUACCUUGAAACUAACCACCUUGGAACCAACCACCCUUAGUAUCAAGUAAUGCAUGUGGAUGACUCAGCAACGGUAUUUGUCCACUAGACCUCCUCGUUGGCGCCCAAGGGAAAAACAUUAGCUGGCUAAGCUCGCCUAGUGGAGAAACCUUCCUUCUUUUAUUUUUAAAAUUUCUAGCUAGGGAAACAAAAGGAAAAUAAAAAAUAAUCAUAGGGUUUUGUGUUAUAUUAUCUUAUCUGUGAGUUUACUACUAUUUUCCUCUCCUAUAUCGGAAUUUUGGGCUUAAUUUGUGCUACUAGUGUUUAUAAAAUUUACAUAUCAUAGUAAAAUCACUAAUAAAUGGAAAAGCACCAAAACAUAUAUUAGCGUUCAUGAACGACCAUUCAUAUAUCUUUACUUUUGGGAAAAAAAAAAACAUGCUAAGUGUUACUUUUGAAAACCACCAUUCACAUCAAUUAUCAGUGAUAUAGCUAGUAUAAGCACCUAGAUGGGGGUGAAUAGGUGUAAAAAUAAUUUCUCGAGAUAUGAAAACAAUACUAGACAAAUUAGAAAGGAAGCUCUCCUUUAGUUAACAAAUUGAAGUAUGAUUAAAGUAAAGCAGAGAGUGGGGAAGAGAAAAUUGAACACAAAGUUUAUAGUGGUUCGGUUUAUUCCAAGCCUACGUCCACUCUUCUGCACUGACAGCCCACUGGCUGGAUUUCACUAUGAACAAAAGAGAUGUUACAGCACUGCUUUCACUUGAUUCCACAGUGUAGAUAUUCUACCACACUUCCUCAAGGUAUCUCAAAAUAUAGAUUCUCUUUUGUGUACAAGAUUUCGCUCAGUAAGUGAAUUGACUAAGAAUCAAAGAGCUUCAGACUUUGGAAUUCUUCUAUCGUGCACACUUCGAACAACUGGAACGUCUUCCUUUUAUACUCUUUUGUGCCAUCAUACCCGUUGGCACUUACAAAAGGAAUUCUUCCAAUCCUCCCGUUGGACAGAAUCAAUUAAGGAAGAUUAUUCGAGCUAUUAAAGGAACAUGUCGAUAGCCCAUCAAUCCUGCUCGCCCAUACAAUCAGGAUCUUGGUAUCCAUAAGUAGAACCUUCCAAGAAUACUUCGUCAAUCAUCGGAUCUUUAAUCAUUCUUGAUUUGAAUAAAGGAAUCCGUUAUGUCAUAUCCAGCCAAGAGAUCUUCUCCAGUCGAUAAGGCCAAAUCCUUAAUGAAGCAGUUCUGGAUAGCCUUUCUUCAACGGAUUAGAAACUGUCAAUGAGAAUAGACUUUGAGUCUUGAGUCUGGUAGUCCGGAGGUCUUCAGACUUUAAUAGAAGAGUCUGCAAAACUUCAGACUAGACUGAUAGAAACGUUUUGUCAGCUUCAAAAUAUUCCAGAAAGAUUUCUCCAACAAUCUCCCCCUUUUUGAUGGUGACAAAACUUUCCUGCAUAUUUGAAUAACUUUGACCUGCAAAACAUUACUCAAGCAAAUAUGGAUAUCUCAUAAAGAUUAAUAGCUUAAUGAUAACACUAGAAUCUGCAACCACAGAAAAUAAGUUAGUCUUGCAUGAGAGUAAAGCCAUUCAUAAGAUAUCAAUAAUACUUAAUAUAAACAGUAGUCAAAUCCAAAUCCACGUUCAGUCAAUCCUCAUCCAGACACAGACACACAAGUCAAACAUCAAAACAAACUGAAAAUUCAACAAGUUUAAGUUCAAAGAUUUCAAAUCUCACAUCUCUCUCCCCCUUUUUGUCAUCAUAAAAAAAAGGUUGAGAUGGGAAUAGAAUGGAGUCAAGUUUGCUUGGGAAUGCGAACAAGCUGGAAAUCUCCCAUGGACUGGAUGAUGCCUUCCAGCUUUUUCAAUUCUUCCUUCAGUUGAUCCACCUCUUCACCUUUAGCAUUGGCUUGAAUCUGAAGAGUAAGGGCUUGGAUCUAAUCAGACAAUGAAACGGAAGAAGCUUGUCCUGCAAUCUUCAAGUUCUGAACUUUGCUUUCCAAAGCAUAUAUCUAACCCCGCAAUUCCAAAAGAACAUCAAUGAUCCUACGAAAAUCUGCUGAGUUAUCAGUUUGCGUACUGGCUUCGGUACGAUCUGAUGGAGUAAAGGCAGACGAUGGUAUAUCGGCAUAAUCACGCAGAUUUGGCGACAAAGCACCAUGUCCCUCCUCAGGAAAUAGAGAGGCAUGAAUGUCUUCUGAAUCUGCUGGAGAGCGGCUGACUCCUUCACUGGUAACAGGAUAUGAGGACAUUCCUCUGUUCUCACCAUCUCCCCCUGUUUCCAUGGCUUCAGGUGGAGAAACGUUUUCCUCAUGCUCUCCUUCCUCUUGAUUUUCUCUUUCUUCUUCUUCUUCAAACCUUUCCUCCCCUGCUUCUUUUUCUUCAGCUUCUUUCUCCUUUUCUUCCUUCUCCCCUGCUUCUCUCUCCUCUGCUUCUGUUUCUUCUUCUUUCUCCUGUUCUUCUCUCUCCUCUGCUUCUUUCUCCUGUCGUUCCAUUGAUUCAGGAACAUAACGACUCAGCUUCUUUAAUGCUAUAGCAGAAAUUGUGAGGUCAUCCUCAUCAUCUUCAUCAGUAAUGAGAGCUUUUCUCUUCUUGGAUGGAGCAACCAUGGGUUCCUUCCCUUUUCUUUUCGCUGCUGAAGAGACUUGAUGAGAUUUGACAGGGGUUUUCUCCUUAAAUUUCUCCAACGCCUUGUCGAGCUCUUUCAGACACAUUUUGGACACCAUUUUUAGUCCUACCACCAUUUUGUCACAAGGUCGAACACAGAGAAUUUGUGGAGGCUGAAUAUUCAAAUGUCUGAAUAUCUUUGACAUAAGACCUAGAUAAGGAAGUUGGCCCUUGUCCUUCACCACUGCUCUAUACAUGUGAAACAGAAUAGUGUGAGGAAGAGAAAACUUUUUCCCAGCAUUGAUGGCGUACAUCAGCUUUGCCUUUGAGUUAAAAACAUCAGUCUUGGAAGUUGAUUUCGGUCUGAGGCAAUUGAUCACAAUCUUGUGAAGCAAAAUGUUGAACGCAUGCAUCCUUGAGUAGGAAAUCCUUCCCUCAAUCAUUUUGUCUUUAACAAGUUUCAAUGUGGCACGAGCUAUAGAGACACUGAUAGGUUGAUAUCUCCCUCUCUCAACCCCAAUAACAUCUGCCAACAUAUCCACAUCCACUACAAAUUCCUGAUCUCGGACACUGAAAGAGAUUCUAUUUGCAUCCAAGAAACUAAGAUUUGAAUAGAAAUAUGCAGUUAAUUGAGCAUAGGCUUCUGUGGUGUCAGAACAGAACUGUUCAAGUUGAAGAAAACUGAAAUUUUCCCGCAAAUUGACAUUCACAGCAUCAAGGAAAUCAAAAUCUACACUCCUAGGGUUUAUCACCCCACACUUCAACAAUUUGGAGUAUAGAUCCUUCUGUUCCUUCGAUCUAAACAACUCUGUUCUUUUUCCUCGAAUUUUUGCCGCAACACCCAUUUUCGGUUGAAAUUGGCUGUACAAUCUGUCAUCAUCAUUCCCAUCUAUCGGAUUAAAUCCCCCAACACGCGGAUCACUUGGGAUAUUUGCAAGGGUUUUUUCUGCCAACCCUUUAGGAGCAAUUGCCAAACUCUCCAUUUUUCGCAAAAAGAUGUACUCAUUCCCAUAUCCCUUGUCCUUAAGAAACUCAUCGAUGUAGUUCAAUGGAGUACCAAUGCUCUUUAAAGCACGAUAAAGCUUAUAAAUAAAAGAGGGCUUUUGAACUCUUACAGGAUCUGCGUCUUCAACGAUUUCUUCCUCUUGUUGAUGAACAGCAUUUUGUGGACUAGAUGGUGGAGAAUGACGCUACUGAGAAUGUUGUGGGCUCUGCUGCUAACUUGGUGACUCCUCUUCCUCGGUGAGAUCAAAGUGAGUAGGCCCCUUACUCAUUCGCCGUGGUCCCCUGCUUGCAAUUCUCGAAGACUUUCUUGAAGACGACAUCUUUCUCAGUCUUUGAAAGAUUCCUUGCUUGACUUUCCCAAGAAAGAUGACAACUUUUUCAAAGAUUAAACAAGGGAGGAAGACAGGAAUGGAGGAUCAAUGCUUUUUAGGGUUUUGGAGUUAAGUGAAGAGGAACCGACUGUAUAUAGUUCAGUCGAAUAGAGGCAUACCAAACGUCGUAAAGGAAGGUUAAAAGAUGCAUUUUAAAAAAAAAAACUGCAUUUUUCAAAAAUAGAUAACUGCCAUUAACUCUUUUUGAAAAGGAAAAAAUUGCACUUUUCACGGAAAUUGAAGAUAGCAUAAAUCAAUUAUGAAUGGAUAAAUGAUCGUACCUUUACGGGAUUUAAUAUAAAAUAAAAUAACUUACAUUCAAAAACCAUGAUUGUCUGAGACUGCGAGUCUCUAGACUUUAACUUCUUCAAGCUUCAAGAUGUUGAGUCUGGAACGGAUGAUUUCAAAUUGAUUUUUCUCCAAAGGCUUUGUAAAUAUAUUCGCCAGUUGGUUCUUUGAGUCAACAAACUGAAUCGAAACUUCUCCAUUUUGAACAUGAUCUCUAAUGAAGUGAUGUCGAAUCUCUAUAUGCUUUGCUCUUGAGUGAAGAAUUGGAUUUUUGGUAAGAUUGAUUGCACUGGUGUUGUCACAGUUAAUCUCCGUGCAUGAAUCUUCAAUCCCAAAAUCUCUUAAUUGUUGUUUUAUCCACAGAAUUUGUGAACAACAACUUCCAAGAGCUACAUACUCUGCUUCUGCUGUAGAAAGAGCUACUGUAUUUUGCUUCCUUGAAAACCAAGACACUGUCCUACUUCCAAGUAACUGACAAGUACCCGAGGUGCUCUUUCUAUCAACUCUGCAACUGGCUAGAUCUGUGUCUGAAUAUCCAAGGAGAGUAAAGUCUCCCUUUUUAGGAUACCAAAGGCCGAUGCUUGAAGUUGAAGCAAUGUAUUUGAUAAUACGCUUUGCAGCACUUAGAUGAGAUUCUUUAGGGUCUGCUUGAAAUCUGGCACAAAUGCAAACACUAAACAAAAUGUCAAGUCUAGAAGCAGUAAGAUAAAGAAGUGAACCGAUGAUACUCCUGUAUAGCUUCUGGUCAACUUUCUUUCCUCCUUCAUCUUUGUCUAUCUUCAAGGAAGUUGACAUUGGUAUAUCAGUCUUUUUGCAAUUUUCCAGUCCAAACUUUUUGACAAGAUUAUUAGCAUAUUUUUCUUGAUGAAUAAAAGUCCCUUCCUUCAAUUGUUUCACUUGAAGUCCAAGAAAGAAGGUUAGUUCACCCAUCAUGCUCAUUUCAAAUUCAUCCUGCAUAGACUUAGAGAAUUUCUUGCACAAACUUUCAUUAGAGGAUCCAAAAAUGAUAUCAUCAACAUAUAUUUGAACAAGCAUAAAACUUUUGCUUUCUCUUUUGAUAAACAGAGUAGUGUCUACUUUACCUUUUUCAAACCCAUUUUGAAUUAAAAACUUACUCAGCCUAUCGUACCAAGCUCGAGGUGCUUGCUUUAAUCCAUACAAGGCUUUUUUCAGUCUGAAUACUAAGUCUGGCUUCCUUGGGUCUUCAAACCCAGGUGGUUGUUCCACAUAGAUUUCCUCAUGAAUAAAUCCAUUCAGGAAAGCACUUUUGACGUCCAUUUGGAAUAACCUGGAAUUCUUAUAACAAGCAAAAGCAAGUAAUAAUCGAAUUGCUUCUAACCUUGCUACUGGUGCGUAAGUCUCGUCAUAGUCUAUCCCUUCUUCUUGCGUAUAUCCCUUGGCCACGAGUCUUGCUUUGUUUCUUAUGACUUUUCCUUUUUCGUUCAUCUUGUUUCUGAAAACCCAUUUAGCUCCAAUAAUAGAUUUACCUUUUGGUUUAGGAGUCAACUCCCAGACAUUAUUAAUACUGAAUUGUCUGAGUUCUUCUUGCAUAGCUUCAAUCUAGCUUUCAUCAGAUAAAGCUUCUUCUAUGCUUUUUGGUUCUAUUUCAGAAAUAAGAGCUACAGCACUAGACUCUUCGCGCCUUUUGGAUCUUGUGCGAAUUCCUUCAUUAAUGUUGCCAAUAAUGAGGUCUUUGGGAUGACUGGACUUAUGCUUCCAGUUACUGGUUGAUUUGUCAGGUUGAUGAUCACUUCCUUCAUUUGAAUCUUCAAUAACCAUUUGUUGCUGGUCUUUCAGAGUCUGAGUUGCUUCUUGAGAUUUAGACUUUGUAGAGUCUGGAGCAGGUUCAGAUUCUUCAAGAUAAGUCUGAGCAGAUUCAUUUUGCAUAGAAUCCUGGAAUUUGACAUUCAUUGAUUCCUCCACAGAUUGACUCUUCUUGUUAUAGACUCUGUAGGCUUUGCUUGAGGUAGAAUAUGCAAGGAAGAUUCCUUCGUCUGAUUUUUCUUCAAACUUUCCAACUCUAUCAUUUGCAUUUUUCAAUAUAAAGCAUUUGUAUCCGAACACAUGAAAAUAUGAAACAAUAGGCUUCUUUCCUUUGAAUAACUCAUAGGGUUUUUUUUUUUUUUUCCAGAAUAGGCCUUAGAAAAACUUUAUUGAGAAUGUAACAUGCUGUUGAAACUGCUUCAGCCCAAAAUCGUGAAGAGAUGUUACUUUCAAUUAAAAGAGUUCUAGCCAUUUCUUGAAGCGAUCUAUUCUUUCUUUCCACAACUCCAUUUUGCUCUGGAGUAUAUAGAGAGGAGAACACAUGCUGAAAACUAGAUUCAUCAUAGAAUUUUGUAAAAUCUUGAUUUUCAAAUUCACCUCCAUGAUCUGUUCUUAUACACGAGAUAACAUACCCUUUUUCAUUUUGAACCUUUUUAGCAAACUUUUCAAAGUAAGAGAAAGUUUCAGACUUACUUGCCAGGAAAUAUACCCAAGUAAAUCGUGAGUAAUCAUCCACAAUUACUAGGAAAUAUUUCUUACCUCCAAUGCUCUGAGUUCUGGUUGGUCCGAAAAGGUCCAUAUGCAGAAGCUGUAGUACACGAUUAGUGGAAACUUGAUUUAUUGGUUUAAAGGAAUUUCUUACCUGUUUUCCCAAUACGCACGGCGUACAUAGAUCAAACUUUUGGUAUGACAAUUUGGGUAGACCACGAACAAGCUUCUUUGCUGAAAUUUUGGCUAUCUGCUUCAUAUUGAUGUGCCCAAGCUUUCUGUGCCAUAAGCUCGCUUCAUCUUGAAUUGAGAUUAGACAUUGCGAUUCAUUUGGUUUCACAUCCAAGAGGUAGAUGUUUCCAUGUCUUCGGCCCAUGAAUGACUGAGUAGAAUCUUUACUGGUUCCUGAACAUAUUCCCUCUUGAAAGUUGAUUUUGAAACCAGUAUCACACAGCUGACUAAUACUGAGUAGAUUGUAGUUGAGUCCUUCCACUAGGGAGACAUUGCUUAUAGUGAGGUUUCCAAUCUUUACAGUUCCAAAUCCCACAAUUUUUCCUUUGCUGUUUUCUCCAAAUGAGACUUUUCCACCAUUUACUUGAACGAGCUUUAUGAAGCAAUUUGAGUCUCCUGUCAUAUGUCUUGAGCAUCCACUAUCUAGAUACCAUUUUACCUUUUUCUUGAUAGUGACCUGCAUUUAAAAGAGAGACUCAAGCUUUCUUUGGUACUCAUAUUUUCUUGGGUCCAUUGGUGUUAGUAUAAUAUGCGGUUUUUGCCUAUACUUUCUUAACAGGUUUCCAAACCGUAGGACACUCUUUUUCAAAAUGAUCUGCACUAUUGCACUUUGAAUAUCUGAGAACAUUUCAACCCACUGGUUUUACAAACACUUUUUGAAAAUGAUUUUUGUAAAAUGUCUUUGAAGGUCUCUGAUUAAUUCUUUCCUUCACUUUAGGAAAAUCAAUUAAAGGAAUGGUUUCUGCUGUCAUUCCUAAACCAGAUUUAUUGAAAUAAGGUCUUUAUGCUGAAAGAAUUUUUUCAAGUUUCUCAGAUCCUAUUGAAAAUAUUUUUGAAAUAUUUGAUAAGUCAUUUUUUAAAAAUGCAUUUUCUUUCAAGAGAUUAUCUUCACUUUCUUUAAGAGUAGAAACAUUCGUGUCUAAAUGUUUCAACUUUUCUUUCAAAACAUUUUCCUAUUGUUUUAGUGUAGAGUUUUCCUUUUUAAGUUCGGAAAUCCUUUUAAGAGAAGUCUUAAGACUAAAACACAGCUCAUCAAUGUAUUUGGAAACUUUAACAGGGAUUUUAAAAUUACUUACCUCAAAUUCACUGUCUGAAUCUGAGUUUGUCUCGGAGUUUGAUGCAGAAUCCGAUUGUGCCAUCAGACAUAUAUUGGCAUAAUCAUCAUCACUUUCUUCACACUCUGUAUCACUCCAGGUUUCUGCUUUAAGAGCCUUUCAAUACUUUUUAGCUUUUCCUUUCUUCUUUUUCAGAAGAGGACAGUUGGGUCUGAUGUGUCCCUUUUUCUUACAUUCAAAGCAGACUACAUCUUUGUUUGAUUCAUCAUCAUCAACAGACUUGGUCUGUUGCUUUUGAAAACUCUGUUUCUUUGGAUUGAAUCUUCUUCCUUUUCUGUUCAACUUUCUGAAUCUUCUUAUCAUGAGAGCAAGCUCCUCAUCAUCCAUAUCGUCUUCAGAAUCUGUGACAUCAGAAUCAUCAUUGAAUUUUAAUGCAAUGGAUUUCUUACCUUUAGGAUCUUCGUCUUCAUUGAUUCGUUCCACUUCAUAAGACUGAAGAGUUCCAACCAACUCAUCGACAGAUAGUGGCAUGAUUCUUUGUGUCUCUCUUAUUGAGGUCUUUAUGUGAUUCCAAUCCUUGGAGAGUCCACGCAGUAACUUGUUUACCUUCAUGGGAUUAGAAAUUGGUUGAUCUUGAUUUUGAAGACCAUUCACGAUUUUUGUAAAACAACUAAACAUGUCAGUUAUAGAUUCUCCUGAUUUCAUUUUGAAUGCUUCAUAUUGACCGAGGAGAAUGUUGAUUCUAGUCUCUUUCACUCGAUCAGUUCCUUCAUAGGUGAUAUGUAAUCUAUCCCAGACUUCUUUUGCUGUAACACAAGAAGAUAUUAUGUUAUAUUCAGUAGGUGAUAAAGCACAAUAUAAAGAAUAAAUUGCUUUUGCAUCAAGAGCCUGUCUCUUGAUUAUCUCUUCCUGAGUCAUUUCACUUGACUUAACAGUUUCUUUUCCUUUCUCUGUGACAGAUGCAGCUUUAGGAGUGAUUCCUUUUUCUAUAACGUCCCAUUCCAGAGGAUCCUUUGAUCGUAGAAACGCUUUCAUCUUGUUUUUCCAGAUGUUGUAAUCCUUUCCAUCAAAGUAAGGUGGUCUGGUAUUGCUCUGCCCUUCCACCAGCCCUGGAGCUAGCAUACUAGCCAUGGAUCUUUAACUCUGAAGGAAAACACUUCAAACAAAGUGAGUACACAGGCUCUGAUACCAAUUGAUAUAGCUAGUAUAAGCACCUAGAGGGGGGUGAAUAGGUGUAAAAAUAAUUUCUCGAGAUAUGAAAACAAUACUAGACAAAUCAAAAAGGAAGCUCUCCUUUAGUUAACAAAUCGAACUAUGAUUAAAGUAAAGCAGAGAGUAGGGAAGAGAAAAUUGAACACAAAGUUUAUAGUGGUUCGGCUUAUUCCAAGCCUACGUCCACUCUUCUGCACUGACAGCCCACUGGCUGGAUUUCACUAUGAACAAAAGAGAUGUUACAGCACUGCUUUCACUUGAUUCCACAGUGUAGAUAUUCUACCACACUUCCUCAAUGUAUCUCAAAAUAUAGAUUCUCUUUUGUGUACAAGAUUUCGCUCAGUAAGUGAAUUGACUAAGAAUCAAAGAGCUUCAGACUUUGGAAUUCUUCUAUCGUGCACACUUCGAACAACUGGAACGUCUUCCUUAAUGAAGCAGUUCUGGAUAGCCUUUCUUCAACGGAUUAGAAACUGUCAAUGAGAAUAGACUUUGAGUCUUGAGUCUGGUAGUCCGGAGGUCUUCAGACUUUAAUAGAAGAGUCUGCAAAACUUCAGACUAGACUGAUAGAAACGUUUUGUCAGCUUCAAAAUAUUCCAGAAAGAUUUCUCCAACAAUCAGUAUGUCUCCUUUUACUUUGUAAAAUGCCAGCUCUAAAUCCUAAUUUCUCACACCCACCCAAAUUAGCCAAAACCAACUAAAAACUAAACCAUUUAAACCCUAAGUAGUAUACUAAAAUGAAUUUUGCAAGGAGGGGUAAUUUGCUCUUUUCAAGGUGGAGUUUUGCUUAGAGGUUAUAUGAAUGGUUUGCAAAGAUUGUUUAUACGUUGGGUCAAAAGUGAGGUAUGUAUUUAGACAUAUUUUUGUAAUUCUUUUUAAUAAUAAAGGCGCAACAACACAAGCCUCAAGCUCUUGCCUAGACCUAGCCCACCCGUUGACCAGACUUGUCCAAGCUCACUAAAUAGGCUUAAAAAAUUUAGCCAACCUCACUUAUGAAUGAGGUCUAUUAGCACAACCACUGGGGUUUGCCCUAGUGGCCACCCUUCCAACAUGAAAGGGGGAGGUGGGGGAUUUGAAUCUUCACUUGUGGGGACGAAUUAGUUUCAAGUGUGGGUUGUGACUCCCACGUUCUGCAAGGAGGCAGUGCAAAAAUUUGAGAGUGAGAAUUAAAAUAGAAGUAGAAUAUGACCGACAAAAAAAAAAAAACGUCUACUAGCGCGAUAUAGGGAAAAGUUACUAAAUCUGACCAAUCAUAUCUAUCAAAUCAAUGAGGAAAAAAUAUUUUCUAUUAUCAUUUGCCAACAUAUAUUAUAGAGAAAAAAUCAUUGUCUUUCAAAACGUACUUAUAUAAGAAAUUACAAAAGAAAAAUGAUAGUCAUGCGAUAUUCCCAUCAAAUUUGCGCAAAAAUUACGAACUUUGAUGAAUAUUGCAUCAAUCUUUCGAAACACAAUUUCUUUCUCUAACACCUCUUACAAGACCCCAUAAACUGCAAAAUUCAGAGAAAUUGGAUCUAUUUAUAUUUAGUGCUGGCUUUUAUUGGCUCUUUGUUGGGACCCGGUUUAAUAACUUUUUUCGGUCUUUUGGGUUCCACCCGAUCGUUGGGAGUACAAGCCGGGAGCGUGGGAACGUGGAAAUCGUCCCUGUUGACAGGGGAACAUGGAAAUCGGACUAAUUCGUCUUUGCUAACCCCGGUAUAUGGGAGAGCAGCUACAAAACUUGGUUCUUGAUCAAUUUCUUGACCCAGACCCCGAGGCCUAGAAAGGACAAUAUUAUGGCUUGGGAGAGGGAUGGCUCCCAAGGGGGGGAGAAUGUGACGACUGACCCUAAUCUGGGGCAGUACGGAGGGACGGACUAAGAUCGCCUCGGUAGUACGCGGGCGAGGCUAAGGGCAUGUCUCCCGUCCCGCUUAGGGGGAGUCCUGGAGGACAAUAUUAUGACUUGGGAGAGGGAUGGUGGUUUGUCCGCACCUCUACCCCUGCAUAACUCGUUUUAAAGCCGUAAGGGCCGAAGGUCCAAAGCGGACAAUAUUACAUAGUGGGGCCCAGGUCCUUUGAGUAAAAUUUCCUUAUUUUAAAAAUGUAUACUCUUCCUCUUGCAUAAUAAUAAUGAAAGAUUAUAGUCAAGGGUCUAAGGUGACGGCCUAGGACGUCACAAAAGCUAAUAUCUGAAACUUGGUCGUGGAUUUCUAUAUUAUUGUUUUAAAUUCUAAAAUCCAAUUUAAUUUUAAGCUCAAAUUCGAGGCAUAUUUUAACAAGGGUUACUCAUUUAAAGCAUAAAAAAAUACAUAUAAAUUCGAACAGACAUCACGAGCUGUCGACAUAUAAAAGGAGUGUUAGAUUUUGAAGAGCCAAAAAUCAACAUUUCAAAAAAGUGGUGAGUUCUUAGUCCCGUGUCUUCGUCAACGAGCAUUGGACUUUCAUUGGAGCAUCGUACUUGUUUUUUCCACGAAAAACGUAUGUACCCCUAUUCCUUCCGAGCAGGUCUCACCUGAGAGGAUGUGCACGUGUGGCGAUUCCAACCGAGCCUUGAACGAGGAGAGGAGGAACAUGUGAUUCAUAACCAUUGCCGAGUCUUUGUCGGGUCUUUUCGGUUUGUAUCUUAGGUUGGUUUUAAACCACCGAGGGGACAAAAACCUUUGGUGUUUUUUUUUUUUUUGGUCAGAAAAAACCUUUGGUUGAUUUAUUUAUAUUUAGUGCCGGUCUUUAUGGGGUCUUUUUGGGUCCCUCUCCCCAGAUUCUUCCUCUGGUAGGGCAAGCCAGGAACGGUCACCCUCAUUUCUCCUGGAAAAAAGAAGCCAAUUGGAUCACCCCUGUUGACGAAGGAACGUGGAAAUUGGACUAACAGUCACCCUCAUUUCUCCUGGAAAAAAGAAGUCAAUUGGAUCACCCCGUUGAUGACAUCUUCAUCUAAUAGUUUAGAGAAAAUCAUUCAAAAAGUCUUACAUCUAUCGUACUUUUGUUAAUUCAAUCAUAGAUAUUUUUACCUUUUGUCAAUUGAGUCUUAUCCGGCUAAGUUUGAUAGAAAAUCGCUAACAUGAAUGCCGGAUGUCUUAUGAGUCACAUGAACAUUUUAAAUAAUAUUUAAUAAUUUUUUAUUUUAUUGUUAUUAUUAUUUAAUCCUUCCCUUCCUUUUCUUUUCUUUUCUUUGGACUCAAGUCGGCAAGGGUAUCGCAGCCUUGCCCCAAAAGGGGAGAGGGCGUCAUGGCCUUCGCUUGGGGCCAAGGCCAACAAGGGUCACCAUGCCCUUGCCCACUGGCUGGCCUAGAUUUGGCAUGGGCAAUGUGGCCAUUGCCGAACUCUUAACCCUUGCCCACUGGCUGGCAAGGGCCAUACACCCUCUCUAGCCCGAAUCCAAAAAAGGGUAAAGAAAAUAUAAAAAGAAAACAUUAUUAGAAAUUUAAUAAGAUGUUAAAAUUUCAUAAAAAAAAUUGUCUACAUUAAUGUCAGCCAUGCCAUGUAAGACGUUUGGCAUCUACAUCAUCCAUUUCUGGCCAAAAUUGCCCAGAUGGGUUCAAUCGACAAAAAAUGAAAACAUUUAUAACUCAAUUGGCACAAUUAGAAGGUUUUAAAUUGAAUUGGCAAAAUCGCAAUAUGUUUAGGAUAUUUUGGAUAAUUUUGUUCACAAAAAUUCAUAAUUAAUGACCUAUUUUCAUUUAAUAUAAUUAAGUAAAAAGAAAACAAUGUGUAAUGCCAAGCAAUAGUAUCAAGUAGGGGUGUGCAACCAAACUAGUUCUACCUGGGAAUCGGAUCAGACCGCCUGAAAAAUAGGUCCACGAAUCAAUUCAAGAAUAGGUUCUAAAUUUUUGGAAUUGGUUGUAAUAGGUCUAGUAAUAGGUUCCGAGUGAAUACCCACUCAGGAAUUAGAUCAGACCGUUCUAUUUUAGAACCGAUUUUAUAAGCUAAAAAGCCAAAAUCCUAAUUUCUUUUUCCCAUAAAUUCUAACCUUAGCACUUUUUCAUCAUUUGUCCUUCCUCAAAGCUCCUCACCAAUCUUUCCUCUUCCCUAAUUAAUGACCUAUUUUCAUUUGAUAUAAUUAAGUAAAAAGAAAACAAUGUGUAAUGCGAAACAAUAGUAUCAAGUAGGGGGUGUGCAACCAAACCAGUUCUACCCAGGAACCCGAUCAGACCGCUUGAAAAAUAGGUCCACGAACCAGUUCAGGAACAGGUUUCAAAUUUUUGGAACUGGUUGUAAUAGGUUUAGUAAUAGGUUUCAAGUGAAUACCCACUCGGGAACUAGAUCAGACCGUCCUAUUUUGGAAUCGAUUUUAUAAGCUAAAAAGCCAAAAUCCUAAUUUCUUUUUCCCAUAAAUUCUAACCUUAGCACUUUUUCGUCCUUUGUCCUUCCUCAAAGCUCCUCACCAAUCUUUCCUCUUUCGUAAAGUUUUAUGGAUGAUUGGAGAAUGGAAUUUUAUAAUUUACGUUAUAUGUUACAUGUUUGAACUUUUUGUCAUUAUAAUUGUACGGGAUUACGUAUUCAUAUUAUGGAUUGUUGUUUAAGGUGGAUAGUGAUUUAUGUUGUUCAUCUUUUACAUUGAAUCGUUUCGUUACUUAUAACCUCAUAUGAUUUUGCUGCAAAAAAUGAACCCAAAAAAGGCAAAAAAAAAAAAAAAAAAAAUAGGUUCUUGAGUAGACUUUGGAACUGGACUGGAAAAAUAAGAUAGGUUCUAGAACCGAUUUCAAGCAAACAUGGUAGCUUACAGGGUCCAAAAACUUGGAACUGGUUAUAACAAAAUACGUUGAGGUUACCUUGAAACUACCCACCUUGGAACCAACCACCCUUAGUAUCAAGUAAUGCAUGCGGAUGACUCAGCAACGGUAUUUGUCCACUAGACCUACUCGUUGGCGCCCAAGGGAAAGACACUAGCUGGCCAAGCUCGCCUAGUGGAGAAACCUUCCUUCUUUUAUUUUUAAAAUUUCUAGCUAGGGAAAAAAAUUAAAAAAAAAAAUAAUCAUAGGGUUUUGUGUUAUAUUAUUUUAUCUGUGAGUUUACUACUAUUUUUCUCUCCUACAUCGGAAUUUUCGGCUUAAUUUGUGCUACUAGUGUUUAUAAAAUCUAUAUAUCAUAGUAAAAUCACUAAUAAAAGGAAAAACACCAAAACAUAUAUUAGCGUUCAUGAACGACCAUUCAUAUAUCUUUACUUUUGGAAAAAGACAAAAGCAUUCUAAGUGUUACUUUUGAAAACCACCCUUCACAUCAAUUAUCAAUGUCUCCUUUUACUUUGUAAAAUGCCCGCUCUAAAUCCUAAUUUCUCACACCCACCCAAAUUAGCCAAGACCAACUAAAAACUAAACCAUUUAAACCCUCAGCAGUAUACUAAAAUGAAUUUUGCAUGGAGGGGUAAUUUGCUCUUUUCAAGGUGGAGUUUUGCUUAGAGGUUAUAUGAAUGGUUUGCAAAGAUUGUUUAUACGUUGGGUCAAAAGUGAGGUAUGUAUUAAGACAUAUUUUUGUAAAUUUUUUUUUAAUAAUAAGGGCGCAACAGGACUAGCCUCAAGCCCUUGCCCAGACCUAGCCCACCCGUUGACCAGACUUGUCCAAGCUCGCUAAAUAGGCUUAAAAAAUUUAGCCAACCCCACGCGUGAAUCGGGUCUACUAGCGGGAUAUAGGCAAAAGUUACUAAAUCUGACCAAUCAUAUCUAUCAAAUCAUUAAGGAAAAAAAAUAUUUUCUAUUAUCAUUUGCCAACAUAUAUUAUAGAGAACAUAUCAUUGUCUUUCAAGAUGUACUUAUAUAAGAAAGCACAAAAGAAAAAUGAUACUCGUGAUAUUCCCGUUGAAUUUGCGCAAAAAUUAUGAACUUUGAUGAAUGUUGCGUCGAUCUUUUGAAACGCAAUUUCUUUCUCUAACACCUCUUACAAGACCCCAUAAACUGGGUUGCUUGCUCAAAGCAUAGAAAAACACAUUAGAAGAAAUUCGAAAAGAUAUCCAGAGCUGUUCACAUAUAAAAGGAGUGUUAGAUUUUGAAGAGCGAAAAAUCAACAUUUCUGACCUUCAAAAACGUGGUGAGUUCUUAGUCCCGUGUCAUCGUCAACAAACACUGGAGUUUCAUUAGAGCAUCCUAUAUAUAUAUUUUCUACCAAGAACAUAUAUACCCUUAUUCCUUCGAAACAAAUCUCAUCAGGUAUGAUGGUCCUCCGCUCCCACACGGAAAAAUUGCUAUGCUUCUGGAUGACCCCAAAAGAAUGUGUAGGUAUGGCGAUUCGCACUCGGGCCUUGAACGAGGACGAGGAACAUGCUUAGGAUGACUCAUAACCAUUGCCAAGUCUUUGUCGGAUAUUUUGGGUUUGACCCUUAGUUGAUUUGUAUCCAUUGUGGGGACCAAACCUUCGGAUGAUCUAUUUAUAUUUAGUGCUGGCCUCUAUUGUCUCUUUGUCGGACCCCGUUUAACAACUUUUUUCGGUCUUUUGGGUUCCACCCGAUCGUUGGGAGUACAAGCCAGGAACGUGGGAACGUGGAAAUCGUCCCUGUUGACAAGGGAACGCGGAAAUCGGACUAAUUCGUCUUUGCUAACCACGGCAUCUGGGAGAGCAGCUACAAAACUUGGUUCUUGAUCAAUUUCUUUACCUCGACCUCCAGAAGUUGCUUAUUAUCGUACUCCUCUUGAGUUGAAAGAGUCCAUGGCCGUCUUUGAAUUACUUUUGCUGUACUUGCAUUCUUUCCAAGUUCAAGCAAAAAAGAUUGUCGAUGCACCAAGAAAUAUUUCCUUCGCUUUCUGGAUUUCAUGCCUGAUCCUCUUCAUCCCAGGCACUCCUGUCGGUGCACAGACAUAUCUUCAAGAAAAGUGCGCAGAUAGGGGCGAGAAUGCUGCUAAAAACUAUGCUCCUUAUAGCAAGUUUCAAGACAACCUCAACAGCCUCCUCUCCAAGGGCAACUACGCUGAUUACAACAAAGGACCCAUUCACGGCUUUCACAACACAACAGAAGGCGAAGAUCCGGACAAAGUUUAUGGUCUCUUCCUCUGCAGGUAAAUCACAUGCGAAAGAUGCCAAAAAAUUCUACUUUUGAGUAAUAUCUACCAAAUCAAUCAUUAUAAUCUUUGGAAUCGACUCACCUAGAACUAGGGUUUAUAAUGGACCUGAUAUAUUGGUCUCAAUUGAAACCUCUACAAAAUACGGUGAUCCAAUGCCAACUGAAAAAUUACUAUCCAGAUUUAAGUGACUACUCUUGCAACUUUACUAUUUCUCUUUAGAGGGGAUGUUGCUGCCAAUCUCUGUCAGUCUUGCAUCCGUUCAGCUAGCAGCACGAUCAUAGAAAGAUGUCCAGGACAGAAAGAGGCAAUCAUAUGGUACGACGAGUGUUUCUUGCGCUACUCCAACAGAUCAUUCUUCUCUAUCAUGGAGACAACGCCGUUUCUUUUCAUUGUCAACCCUGCGAACGAUUCGGUUACCUUCAACAGGACUAUGGAGCAAACUUUUGAUAAUGAGAAGGACUUUGUGGCAGAAGUGACGGAUUUGUCGAGGAAUGUGACGGACUUGGUGAUCUUGUCAGAAAGCUUAUACGCAACCUUAAACGUUAGUGUCUCAAGUUCAGUGACCCUUUACGGGCUUGCACAGUGCACCCCCGAUAUAUCAAAAUCAGCUUGUAAGAGUUGCUUGCUU
rnacentral:lncRNA from 1 species